CAUGUCUAUCCACAUCAUUCUUGAUGAUUUUGGGAUGAUCACAAACGCCCCCUUAAAGUAGGAUUUUUUAAAAUAUUAUUUUUUAAUAAUUAUUUUCUCAAAUACCACUAAACCAAACUUAUUUGUGGAUUUAUGGUAGUCGAGGUGCCAAGUGUGAUAUCGUGGGUUGGACCCACCAUUUCAUCACCAACUCAGAUGAAAUCAUGGGUUCAAUCCACGAUUUCAAGGCCCAUUCGGACAAAAUCAUGGGUUGAAUCCAUAUUUUUAAUUUGGUGACUUGGCAGUCAAAAUCAUGGGUGCGAUUUCACUUUGAAAUCAUGAUUGGAAGAGCAGGAAGGAGAUUUUGCGGGUGGAUGUCACGAGGUACACAUUGCUCGUGCGGAGGCAAUGCUAUAAUCGAAGUUACCACAGGUAGAGCAAGGAACAUAUGGAGAAAGCUAUGUCUCUUUUUGACAGGAUAUAUUUGCCGAUAUUUCAAACUUUUGGAACAUAGAUAAGGGGAGAAGACGUGUAAACUAGUUGUGUGUUAAUAAGCAGGAGCCAAACAUGGAGAAAUUCCUCUCUGCUAGAUUAAAUUAUAAGUUUUAAAGUCACCACAGCAGUUCAAAUAUUUAUAAUCUUUAAACAAAUGUUGAAAGUAAUAUCUAACUCCCUAAAUGAGAUGGUCACCGACUGCUUGUUGGAGCAGUUAUUAGUGAGAAAUCUAACAGGGAUAUCACAUGACAGCUAUGCAACUUUUCUAUAUAAUUUUUUUUGGUUAUCACCUACACCAUCAAUAUUUAUUGUAUAGAUAAUGAUUUAAGCAAAUAAUAUCAUUAUUUAUAACAUAAUAUAUUAACCAUGAUAUAGUUGCUAAUGAUCAUUACAGCGACUAUUUUGUUUGGCUCCCUCAAAUCUAGUCAAUUGAUGGCUGCUCAUGUAAAUUUUCUUUUUCUUUAAACUAGCAGGUUUUAAUCCUCACCUUCUAACUAUACUUAUAUUACCAAUAGGAUUGAAGCGAGCGACAACAUGACUUAGAAUCGCAUGUUGCCACUUGCCAAUCGCAUCUUUGGACAAACCAUAUUCUAAGUCAUGUUGCCACUCGCUUCAAUCUUGUUGGUAAUAUUAGUUAGAAGGUGAGGAUUAAAACCUGUCAGUUUAAAGAAAAAGAAAAUUUACAUGAGCAGCCAUCAAUUGACUAGAUUUAAGGUAGCCAAACAAAAUAACUGUUGUAGGUGACCAUUAGUCACUAUAUGAUGGUUAAUAUAUUAUGAUACAAAUAAUGAUAUUAUUUGCUUAAAUCAUUAUCUAUACAAUAAAUAUUGAUAGUACGGUGAUAACCAAAAAAAUCAUAUAGAAAAGUUGCAUCGCUAUCAUGUGAUCUCUCUGUUAGAUUUCUCACUAAUAACGCUCCAACAAGCAGUCGAUGACAGUCUCAUUUAGGGAGUUGGAUAUUACUUUCAGCAUUUGUUUAAUGACUAUAGAUUUUGAACUACUGUGGUGACUUUAGAACUUAUAAUUUAAUCUAACAAAGAAUUUCUCUAUUUUUGGCUCCAGCUUAUUAACACAACUAGUUUACACGUGUUCUCCCCUUAUCUAUGUUCAAAAAGUUUUAAACACCGGUUAAAAUAUCCGGUUAAAGAGAGACGUAACUUUCUCCAUGGGUUCCUCACUCUACCUGCGGUAACUUCGAUUAUAACAUUACCUCCAUGUGAGCAACAUGUUCCUCAGGACACCCAUCAGCAAAAUCCCCUCCCUGCGCUUUCAAUCACGGUUUCAAAGUGAAAUCGCAGGUUCAACACACGAUUUCACUGAAAUCGUGGGUUGAACCAACAACUUUGACUACCUAACUCACCAAAUUAAAAAUGCAUGUUCAACCCACGAUUUUGUUGGAGUUGGCCUUCAAAUUGUAAAUUCAACCCAUGAUUUCUAUCGAGCCGGCAGCGAAAUCGUGGAUUGAACCCACAAUGUUACACAUGGCACCCCGACUACCGUAAGUUUACAAAUAUGUUUGGUUUAGGGGUAUUCUGAAAAAUAAUUAUUAAAAAAAUGAUAUUUUAAAAAAUUCCUUAAAGUAGACAUUUUGACUUCCUAUUGUUCGUUUUGAAGAGAAAAUCUAGCAUUAAGCACACAUAAUCCAUAAAACUAACCAGCCAAGUGAUUAUUCUUUAAAAAAUGUUUAUUUUUACAAGGUAACAACUCCAUUUCCUCUACCCAUCUCAAAAGUAUCUAUUAUUCUCCAACAACAAAAGCAGAAGUCUCCAUGAAAUGCAAAAAAGAGUAGAAAACUUUAAAAAAAGAACUAAAACAAAAACACAAAUAUGAAAUAGGAUAUGGGAGAAAAUGUUAAAAAAGAGAAGAGAAUAUAAACCAAGAUCCCAAACUAAAAGACUGAAUAUACAUAAAAACAAAUAAUAAAAAUACUAUAACAAAAUAAACUAAAAAAGGAAACAAAGUGAAUGCAAAGACAGCAAAUAAGCAAAAAGCAAAUAAAAUAGAAUAAAAAGAAAAAUAAAAGAAGUACCCAAAACAAAUAGAAAUCCCAAAAAAAGAUUAAAAGUUAAAAGGGUAAUACAAACUUAAUUAGUGAAAGUGAAUAUAACAAAUUAAACUAAAUAGAAAAUAAAAUAAAAUAUAAAACUAAAUUUAGAAUAAUUAAAAGAAAACAAAAUUCAAAAAAUAUGCAAAAAUAAAUAGAAAGAAACAAAUAGUGGAUAAAAAUAAAAACCGGAAACAGAAAAUAAAAAAGAAAGCUUGAGAAAAUUAACAUGAAAAUGGAAAAUAAACAGAAAAUAACUUAAAAUAUAACAAAAAUAAACGACAAAAUUGAAUUUGAAAAGAAUAUAUAAAAUAAAAUGUCAAACAAGUAUGAAAAAGGAAUAUUUAUAAAAAACAAUAGGUACUAUAAACUGAGAAACUGAAUUUUAAAUCUACAAAUUCUUAGAGGCCCCAAAUCUGGCACCACAAAAAGAUCCAAGGCCACAAGUCAUAUGAGGAUUGGCACCUACACCACAACCCCCUCCUGAAUUGCACCAAGCUGUCAAACACACCAACCCCUCUUGUCAAAUGGCACGACAGCUGUAAAGAACUUAUUAAAACAAGACAGCCAAACAGAUUAAAAGAAAAAAAAAAAGAAACUGUAAAAUACAAAAUCUAAAACUGAAUCUCUGAAAGUUAAAUUAAAGAUGAACAAGUCAAUAGGAAAGAAAUGCUUCCUCUCCCCUCAACACCUCCAUGAAACAACUGUAAGACAUGAUUUCAUGAACCAUUUAGGGCAAAAUUGGCAUUUUUGGCCCCAGAUUAAAACUGAACCCCGAAUUAGAAGGAAUAUACAAACAGAAUGUGUGUGUGUGUGUGUGUGUGUGACAGAGACAGAUCUUGUGAUUGAUUGGCCAGGGUGGCAGUAGAGGAGAGUAAUAGAUAGACUAUAAUUAGCACUGUUCUCAGAGUGACUGAAAAGGAAAAAUGUGGAAGUAAAAUUAGAUGAAAUCAAUGAUCCAUUAAAUUACUCCUUAUAUAAAGUUAUAUGCAUUGCACUAGCUGAGGAACAUGUCAUUAGAUUAUAAGAUUGCAAGCUCAACCAAAUCAUUUAUUCUUAACCCGUCACGUGCAUUGCAUGUGCUGAGUUCAAGUUCACAAAGAUUAACCAUUCUGAAUUAUUUUUCUAUAAAGCUUCCUCACUAGAAGCUAAUGGAAUUUUUGGUCGCAUAUUUGACAGGUGGAAUCUUAAAGCCUCUAUUUUGUAAAAUAAUAUCAGUUGUGAUUUAUAAUGAUAGCCAUUAAGACAUAUCCCUGCUAUUUGGAUCAGGCAAUAAGUUAUAAUUUAUAUUUGAACAUAUUCAAACAUACAUCCCAUGCAUUUACAGUUUUUCCAAUAAUUUUUCAUAUCUUUGUUCUUUUCUAUAUUACAAAUUCAGUGCAUUCAACUUGCCUAAAAAGUACCAGAUAAUGGAUAGCACUUAUCAUAAUCUAAAGCAGAAAGAUACCAUUGGUACCAAAAAACACAACACAAUUCCAUCACCAGUUUAAGUAUACUAAAAAAAAAACACAAAUCAAUUAACAUAAAUUAACUUAUUAAAGCAGAUUAUAAGAUUUUGGAAGCAAAAUAAUAUCACAUGACAUCCUCUCAUCUAAAGUUAAAUUAUCCUUGAAAGAAACUGCAGGUCGUAUCAGCUACUUGGAGGACAUAAUCAAGAAAUAGCAGAACAUUGAGCCUAAUAAGAGAUUACCACUCAUCCACAACUCUUGUGACUCUGCAACAUAAAAACAGAUCCAGAAUCUGCAGUAAACAGAGUUAACCACAAGGGUAGACCCCACUAAUUGGGGAUAACAAAAGCUUGUUUAACACCAAUGUAUCGACCAAAAUUGAAUUAUCCUAAAAGACCGCACAGAUAUAUCAUCCCAAGGAAAAAGAAAAAGCAGACGACAGAAGUUGUAUUAGAUAGAUGCAUUCACAUUAAAGGAGGUUCAUUAUUCAGCAGGCUUACACAAAGAUAAACAUAAAUCUUGACUAUAAUAACUGACCGGAAUAUCAUCUUGAACUCUCGAUCGCAAAGAACAUCCAGAAAAAAGCAGGGCAAACGAUACCCAAUAAAAAAAAAAAAAGGAUUUGACUAGAAAUCGAUAGCCGUAUAUUUAAAUUCCAAAUCCAACUCCCAACUCAAAAAGCCAAUUGGAUUCAUAUUAUAUUAUUUUUUUUAAAAAAAAUCCCUUAUUAAUCAACAGGGCAGAAAAGAUGAUUGGCAUCUAAAAUUGGAGGGGAAAAAAAAAAUCACGUCGAACAAAACUAAAAUACAAAAGAUCACAGUUAGGGCACAGAUCAACAUAAUAUCAAAACUCUAGAAAUCAAUAAUUCCAAAAAGAACCAUAUAAAACCAAAAUCCGGACUAGAAAUCAAGAACCACGAAUUCAAGAAAUAACCACGAAGAAUAGGAAUUAAAGAAAAAUACGAUAUAAAGCUGAAAUCAAGAACCAUAUCGAUAUUUCAAAGAAAACCAAGAAAAAGAUAAAGGCCGAGAUGGAUUGCUCCUCUUGCCUCGUAGGAGGACCACGUCUUCAUCUCCUCCUCGUCGUUCUCGUCCUCAGUGGUGUCGACAUGGACGCAGUAGCACCGAUCCAGGGACGCGAGAAGAAAGCCGACGCCAUGAUCGUCGCUGCGAUGAUCGCCGGAUUCCGAACGGUCUGAGGAUAUUGCAAAGUGGGAAAGAGAGGGGGAGUAGGAAGUAUCGGCAAGAAAGAAGGCGAGAUUGGAGACCUAGAGCGCGAAGAAAGAAACCUGGAGCCAGAUUGGAGAAACGGAGAAACAAAUCGAGCAGGGGAGCGGCACGAAGUGGGUCUAUUUAUAGACGGUUUAAGUCGGCGACACAUACGCACCAAGGAACGGGUAUUAGCACGUGCGAGUGAGUGCGAAGUGUGGACGGCCAUGAUUCAUCCACCUCUGUUUUCUCCUCCGGGGUGCAAAAGUAGUGGAUACAUUUAAAAAAUAAAUAAAUAAAUAUAAAUACACGCACGCACGCGCGCAAGCACAGAGAAUUUGAAACACUCGAUAUUUAUUUAUUUUAAUUAUUUUGGACUCUCUGAACUUUUCUUUUGUAUUAAGUUUUGUCUGUCCAUGUUUGUCAAAAGCAUGCGUUCCAAAAAUUAAAAUUACAAAAUAAUAAAUAUGGAGAUUUCAUUUCUGAAGUACGGCACGAUGCACCUGGCAUCCAGCUGAGAGUAUUCGGCAGCAGAUGUGAACAUGCAACACAAGUGUGCCGAACUUGAUUUGAUAUUUUUUAAUAAUUCUAAUAAUUCUUAAAUUUUGAAUGACUCUACUGAUCUUGGUAGGUACAAAUUCAUCGUGUUUUCUGUACAAAUAAACAUAACAGGUCAGAAGAUAAUUAACAUGAUCAUAUAUUUUUAUAAAAAUAGGAACAGUGAGAGAUGGGAGGGUGCUUAGUUGUUUUUAUCCCUCAAGUAAGAUGUUGCACUACCCAGGUGGAUCUCCUGUGCAUCUCCAUUUCCUAGUUCCCAGGAAGCGGAGCCCAAGUUGGUGGGUGGCAUUAAAUCUCAAAAGUUCCCGGUAUGAUAAUAAGAUAAAAUAUAAAAGUAAUAUUAUGAUAAUGGGGGAAUAAUCUUUCGGUCUAUAGUGUUGUGGAUGAAUUGGAAAUCUUCAAAAUUACUAGCUUUCUUUGAAGCAAGAUUCUAUCAAAUUCACUUUAUAAUGUAAAAUAUAUCGUGGGGAACAAAAAAAAUUCCUAAACCCUGGUUGAUAACUUAGUUAUUUAUAAGGUUUUAGGAUUUAGGGCGAAAGCACCAUUUAAAGUUGAUAAAUAUGGAACUUGGAGUUUUACUAAUGAAAUCAGCUAGUUAUACGAUCUUCAUUUUGUAUGCAUGUGAGGUUCUUCUAGAUCGGUAUCCAUAUUCAGCGCUCGGUUGGCCCCAGGUGGAACAAAAUGGACUUCCUGCAAUAGAGUCUUACUUAGAGACAUGGUCUAAAAUGGCUUUGAUCUAGAGCAGCUUAAGCCACCCCAGUAAAAUGAGCUCCUGCUCAACCCACAAACACUAAACCAAUCAAGCCUUGUGUAAGUUAUGCUCAGAAAUAUUUAUAUACGUUGAGUUGAAAGGCACUUUAAACAUGAAUGUGAAAAGUUAUUUUCAGAUCCCUGGUUAACUUCAAUCACUUAUAAGCUCGAGUAAAAAUACCAUGAAGUCAACAACAUUUGCCAACUUCAUUUCACGCUUGAGUGUGGCAUGUGCCCAUGGAAACACCUUGCCUAGAGUUGCAUGAAGGCAUUUCGAGGAGUAUUUUUCCAGGUCUUUUAUUUUUUUUUGGUAAAAUUUCAAGUCUUUUAUUUUUUCAGGUCUUUUAUUUGAUAAAUAAAUAAAAGCAAUUUAGAAUAUUUAUUGAACAAAACAAAGCCAUGGCUGUAGAGAUAAUUGAGAUCUUAAAGUAGUUCAUUAUGGAAUAUGCAUUUGGACCAUCGCUUGAUGAAAUUAUCGGUAUGUACUGCAUGCUCAAAGCUGUAUUAGAGUACAAUUAUACACAUGGUUGUCAAUUUCAGCAAGUCAUAUAUGCCAAGGUCUUAAAAAUAUUUUGUUAAGAGUCUGAAAAAUAGUGCAAAUUUAGUUGACAAAUUAAAAUUAGACGAGCAUUCGAUUUUGAAUCUACAAAAGUUGGAGGAUGCAAAAACUUUCCUUUUCUUUACAUGGAUUUAAGGGAUUACUUACAUGCCAAUUGGUAAAAGGAAAUGGAAAGAGCACUGCAAUGACAACCUUGGACUAUUUUUAAACCAAAUAAUCAAAGAACCCUUUCUAUGCAAUACAUAAUUGACGAAGCUACAAAAAUCACAAACAUAUUCUGGUGGACUGUAGGCCUAUCCGAGAUCAUAAUUCAUCUAAGUGAUGCUGCAAGCUUUAAUGUAUAAAAGGAUCCAUCGCGCAAAAAAUAUUGAACCAUUUGGAGGUACUUAAUUUUUUCUUGAACUUUGAUUGAGUGUAAUUAGAUUAUCAAAUUUUUUAAUUUUUUUAAUUCAGAUUAUGAACAUGGAUUCUGUUUGGUUGCCAUAAUGGAGUGGUCACGAAAUAUCAAAUGACUUGUUGCAUAAGAGGGUGAUGUGGAUAAGUUUUUGUCUCUCGUUUUCAUCUCUUCAAUUAAGGUUUCAACUUUCAUUUUCAUCCAAAUCCCAACUCUCCGUGGUGGUGCGGUCCUUAGACGACAAGCGACAAUCAAUUGACAAUGGUAGGAAGAGAAAGAAAAGAGGAGAUGGAUUACGUAAGAAAAGAUGGCUCAAGAAAUUGGACCUAAGCAAUUUUAUAUUUUUUUUCAUAUUUGUUUUUUUGUUUCUUAGUUUUUUGAAGCCAUAAUUUUUGAUUUAAGAAAGAAAUAUCGAAUGAUUUUAAUUUGGAGGAAUGAUAUGUAUUUAUUAUUAGUUAUUUUCUUUUACUUUCUCCCACAAGAUAUUUAAGAAGUUGGAUCGGUACAAACUAAGGUAUGAGAUUUUCAUGGAUUUACUUUUCAGAAUUCUUCAUUCCUUAUCUUAGGUUUCUUGGGUUCCUUAAUCUUAAAAAAAAAAAAAGAAAAAGAAGAAGAAGAGAAGAGAGAAGUGUCUAUAAUAAGUUACCAUAUCAUGUGCUUUGAAUAUUAUUGUAUAGAUAAUCAAGUUUUUUUUAAAAAAAAAAACCUUUCAAGAGCUCCUAGGUAACAGGUUGGAACUCAUUAUCAUAUUUCUCUACCUUUAUUUUUUUUUGUUCUUAAUUUUUUGAUUCCAUUAUUUAUGUUUGGGAUAAGAAGAAAAAAAAAUUUUAGUUUGUAAGAAUUAAAAAUACUAUAAUAAUUAAUCUUUUGCUUCUUUAUUUGCUUUUUUUUUUUCUUCCUUUUGCUGCUCAUCUCAUGGCCAUCACUUGUCUCUAGUUGCUGGAUGAAAAGAAGGGAUGGAAUUACAAAACUAAAGCCUUAGCAAAAAAAAAAAUUUCAAAAUUUUUUUUUAAUAUCAGUUAAGAGAAUGAUAAAUUAUCAAUUUUUAAUAUGCCACGGCACGUGAUCACAUCAUUAUGAUAUCCAAACAAAAUUCAUAAUCAAAAUAUGACUUAAAAAUUUUUGAAAGUUUGAUAAUCUGAUUAUGCUGAAUUAAAGUUAAAAAAAAUAAAAAUCUUUAAAUAAUUUAACAUUUUUUGUGUGAUUAAUUUCACAUAAAAUAAGUCAUUACCUUUUUUUGCCAGGUUUAAAAACCUCAAAUAAAUAGUUGUUCUUUUCAAGGAGCACUUUUACAUUAUGCUUCUUGAAUGCAAUCCCUCAAGUGCAACCAAUAACUAUCCUAAUCAAUCAACAUAGUACAGUGCCCAGACGAUGCAGAUGACAUAUUCUGAUGGUGGCAUGUUGAUCAGAAUGCUGCCUAAAACUCAAAAAUGUAUUAGCCAAUUCAACUAUAUUCGUUUUAGUUUCAGUUUACACACACCCAUGGUUAUAAAAGGAAAUAGCAUUUUCUAAUUGUGUGGAUGAUUUUAAAAGUAUGAUUUCACGAGAAAUAUUUGCCUGCAUAAUUUAUUGCCCGAUAACGGAAAAAAUGGGGUUUUUUUAGCCGGCUUAUAUGGCCAUCAUGCUUUCAUAUAAAAAAUAAAAUAAAAUAAAAAUUACAGUAAACGGACUGAUCUAACAUUAAUGGACUACCCAACUUGGCCUAGUUUGUGCCAUUCCAUGAGGUUGUAAUCGCCACCGACAAAGUGGCAGUCCAGACCGAGAAACGGAGACGUACAAACCGCGCCGCAGCCACGCAAAUCCUUCUCGACGGAAGUCCGCGGAGGCCUCCGCGUCGUCGGUACGCGCAAGGCGCGGCUGUAGCAGCCAAUCCAAGAAGACGAAUGAAUUGCUAGUAAUGUGCCAUUGGCGGGUUGCUUUUUUAAAAAAAAGGGAAAAUCAGAAAUAACUCUCUAUUUCUUACUCCCUCGUAUAUACUUAGAUGCGGGAAAAUCCCGUUCAGGUCUUGGCAUUCGUGUCCUCUUCUCACUUUCUUGAAAGCACACAAAUAAUAAUAAAAAAAUAGACGGGAGGAAAGAAACAAGAAAAAGGAAUGGAGCAGACAGCCUCAGCGGGGCCAAACAGCUGACAGCGACACUGUCUCUCUUUGUCCUCCGUCUUUCUCUCUCUUGCUCUCGGCUCUCCGCCUAAAAAGCAAGCAAGCAAGCCAGCCAGCCAGCCAAAGAAGAGAGGGAGGGGCUAUAAUUGUGUGUGUGUGUUUUUUUUUUUUUCAGUUAGGGUUUCUGAAUGAGGGAAGGGGUCUCUUUUUUUUAUCUCUGCUUCCCAUCCCCCACCAGCCCAAACGUUGUCGGUGAUUCGGACCCAUGGAGGUGUUCCGGGCCCCCAUGGCCAUGGGCCCCUUCUCCUCCUCCUCCUUAUCCACCUCUCCUUCCAUUGGAAGACGUCGUGCGCGGAGAAGAAGAAGGUCCGUAUGACAACUUCUCUUUUCCCUACCAUCUUCGUUUCUCUUUGCUUGCACUUUCAUAGAUGGUUGGUUGCAUUUUCGAUUUAUUACUUCUUCAUGGGCGCAGAGAAUGGUUGGUAAUGGGUUUGAUUUCUUACGAAUUACUAGGAUUUAUCGUUGGAUUGGAGCAUAUGGAAGAUAGGAUGGUGUUGGGUUUGGUAGUUCUUAAAAUAAAGAACAUUUUUGUUAGUUUGUUGGAUGGCAUUAGUGCCGGCAUUGGCAGAGACAAUAGUAUACUAAUAAACAGAGAAAAAACUUGCCGAAUGGUACACACGACGCUAAGGUAUUUUUUUUUAAUAAAACAGAGAAAAGAAAAAGUGUUAGAAGGAAAAGUAAGUACGCCAAGGUCAGACACUAGAAGUAAGGAGGGGGGAAAUGGGAUUUUGGGAAGUGGAGUUUCACUGUAUGCCACUAGGAAACUCCAUUUUUAGUGGAACAAACGCAUCAUCUUAUUUAUUAUCACCACCUCACAAGGUUUUUUUUUUUAAAAUUAUAUAUAUAUAUUUUUUAAGAAAAAAAUAUUUAUUGAUUCCAUUUACGCCUUUUUAUCCCUCUGUCUCUGGUUUGAACUUCUAUAAAUCAUGUCCUUUGACUAUGUGAUGUUUACUUUUAGGUAUUUAUCCUUUUACCUUUAUCUCUCCACCUUCCUUUAGAUUUGAUGGUGACCACGAGCUCCUUGCAGCCAAUCUUCUGCCCUUAAGUACCAUAGCAGACGCCCUGCAGCCACCUCCUCCAUAUUUGUUAAACAUGAUAAAAAACAUACAUGCACAGAAAAGUAACUACUUUUGCAAACUAAUAAACAUCGAUCACUAUAAACUUAAGCUGUAGAGACAUUUACUUUUGGAAAUAAAUAGAAGCUUGGCACAAGAAAAUAAAUAAAAGUAUAAACUUAUGUAGUAUGUGUAAUAGUAGCUCAUAAAUGUAUGUAGAAAUACCGUGAAUCAUAAAUGUAUAUGCACUGUAGCGGAACUUUUCUUUCAAAAGUAAAUGAAAAGUUCAAGAAGACAGAUCUAACUUGAAUUAUAAUUUCUAAUAUCAUAUAUUAAAGGUAUUAAAAUGAGCAGAAGAGUAAAAUUUUAUUUAUCUCAUAGUGCUUACUUUGAGCAUUACUGAAGGCACUUGAGAAAUGCAAUAGCUGAGGUGUGAUCACCUAGGGAUGAUUUAUGGGGGAACUGAGGAAAGGGGGUUAAAUUUUUACCAGCGCCUUUAGGAUUGUUUGUUGUCUUGAACCUUAUGGGAUAGAAAUGAUCAAUUAAGAUUAGGGAGAAACAGAGGACCCAUCAACUUUCCAUUUUUUUUUUGGAUGGCAAAAGAUAGGAGGGACUAGAUUCUAAGGGAUAUUAUGCUAAAAAGUUGCUUUCUAGACUUGCAAAUAAAAAUCAACAAGCAGUGAGUGCAGAAAUCUGCAUUGCAUUCUACUAGAAAAAAGAUCAAAUGGUAAAUAAUUGAAUAUAAAGACAUGAAGAAAAUACAAGAAAGCAUUAGAGAUCAAUGAGAUAUGAGCACUUUUCUGAAUUCCAUUUAGCCCAAGCAAGUUAACCUGUUCGACGCAUCAUCAUGGGUGAUCCAGUUUUGGGGGCUGGAUUUGCCUAAAAAUUUUUCAACAUGUUCACUUGGAGCAGUUUGACAAUUUGAACUCCUUGGUGUCAACCUGUGAUUGAAUGCUAUAAAAGAUAAGGAAAAUGGAAAUUCCAUCUCAAUAGUUGAAAUUCCCUCUUGUCGGGUCCCUUUAUCUAGUCCAAUCACCGUCAAGUUUUUUGCUGAUGGUGUCCAGACCAUUUGGUGCUCAAAUUUUGUAAAUAGCCAUUUUUGUCACCCUCUCUCUCAUUGUUGAUGAUGGGCCAAGAGGAUGAGAGAGUGGGUUGAUGGGGUAAAUACAUGUGAGAAAUAGUGAAUCUGGCAGGUCAUCGAGAAAUGGUGGAUCUUGUAGCCCGAUGAAGCAAGCUAGUAUGCCCUCAUGGUUGUUGCCUUCUAGCAUUUGGACAAUGAUACCACUAGCAGGCCCCAUGAUAAUUUAAGGGUGAAGGGGGGUCAAACUGCUACUAGCAGUGUUGCCUAGGGCAGUAGAGCUAGGAAGGAGAGAUCUCAAAUGGUGGAUGGGAGGAUCAAAGCAGAUCUGGGUAAAGCUAAUAGUGAGGGCUUUUGGAGAAGGAAAGGACCCCUUGAGCCUGUUGAUGCAUGGCUUAUGAUCUAGCCACCAUAAGUGCCAUGGUGGAGGUCAAGAUUGAGGGAUGGACGAUGCAAACUACUCAAGACUGAAGUGGACAAAAAGGCUUCAAUUAUAAAAGAAAAGUUAAAAAGGUAAGCCUUCCAUUUGUCAAGGGGACCAAGAAUAUUUUAAAAAAUCUGUCAAGGAUAAAGAAUUAAAUUCUAGUAAAUAUAAGAAUUGUGUAUGUUUUGCCGUAUGUCAUGUACUUUUUCUUAACCCUUUCAAAGUUUCUAGACAAAAGAUAUAUCUUGUACUUUAGCUUCAGCUACUACACUUUUCUAGCCUUAUAACUCAACUUUUAGCUCAAGUUUUUCCUUUUUUAAUUAAUUUAUUUUUUGUACUCACUACAACAUUUGGAUAUAUGCAUUAUGCAAUGAAGCUUAAUAUUUCCUGUACUUCUAAGUUUCUUCACUUUGUUUACGUUGUUUAUUACAAAUUAAUGCAACAUAUUAUUUGCUUAGUUAAUAGCUUGUUUCAUACAGUUCUUAAAUAUCAAGUUGCCUUUUUUUUUUAAAAGCAAACUAAAAAAAAAGGAUGUGAACCUUUGGUUAUUGUUGAAUCUUGUGAGCAUAUGGUGGCGGUUGCUUAAUAAGUCAAAGCCUCCUACAAGCCUUGUGAAAUCCAUAAUAUAUGCUCAAGUUUGCAAUGGGUCAGAGUAAAUUCCUCCUGUGAGCGUAAAGCUUUUUCAUGCUUGCAAGCAGUUGUCCCUUUGCUAAGAAAAGCAACAAGUGCCAACAUUCCUUUUACAUAUUAGAUUCUUGGAUAUGCACAUCCAUCUUGGAAAAUUUGUGUUGACACAUAUUUGCAUGUGGGAAAUGUCUCAAACACUUUACAUAUUAGAUUCUUGGAUCAUGGAUUCUUAAGACUGUUGGAGACUUGGGUUCUUCAGAAAUAGAAUCUAACAUGUUCCUCACAUAAAUCUCAUGAUAAUUAAAAUGGGGUUUAAUUGUGCUUUAGAGUUUGUUCAAUAAGUGAAGGCAUCAAAAACUUGGUGAAAAGUAGUAUGAUUUUAUGCUUGAACAAGGUUUGAAGUUCUGAUCAGGAAUAUACAUUUAGACAAUCAAUCUUGUAUUUUGCGAUUCAUGCUGGUGACUACCAUUUAAUUUCCAUCAGUCAUUUCACCAGCAUUGUACUUUUUAGGCAUGCUUGUGAGUUGUGACCUUCUUUAGUAUGAACCAAGAGUGAUAUUCUUGUGGUUCUAUGAAUUAAUCAAUUUCUAAUAAUUUAGGGAGCUAGGUGUUGAACUGGUCAUCCCUGGAAUGGUGUUGAAACAUAAUUGAUAUGUUGUAAAUAUUCAAUUUAGGGAUGUCUUGUAUCCAGAUUGAGAGAUGUUAAUCCUUUUUCCUCUCGUCUUGCUUACGGAGGGAAAUGAGAAAACAAUGAGUCCCCACAUUCAUGUAGCAUUUGAUUAUGCCUUAUUGUCAGAACUGGUAGGUGAGUAUUUGCUAAUAGUGUAAAUUUGCUGGACUCGAAGUGCAUCCUAAUAUUUGAAUAAAUAGAGGGUUUUGGAGGGAGUGGGGGGGUGGGCUGGGGUAGGAAAACAAAAACCCAUUUGAGCCCACCGAUGGAGGCUGGGCAUUAGAUUGCCAAUGAGAUUCCAAAUUGGUUCUUUAUUUCCUCAAAGUCACCAUAGGAAGUAUAUGUGGCAACAAAUGCAGCAUACAACAAAGAUAAGCACUACCAGUCGACCGAGAGAUGUGAGCCAGAAGAAGGAGAGUGGAAAAUGGGGAAAUAAUGAAACUUGAACAAAUCUCCAAGUCUUUUGGUUCUUUUUGGGAAAUAUGGUGUUUAUUCACGACAACACAGGUGUGCAUCUGAGACCUCUCCUAUAGAGAGAUGAGUUAGCUGUUACAUAAUGUUUCAGUUUCGUAUGUGGUUUGCUAGAUAUUUUGGAUCUAUUGGGUUUUCACAUAAACAAUCAUAAAUAUGUUAUGGGGGGCCUAAAAGUUUGAAAACACGAAUAAGUUCAGUUCAGAAUUUUAUUUGUUUACAUACAACUCAUGAAAAAUUUCACUAAAUAGUAACUCUAUUCUUUUAAGAUUGCAUACUUAGAAAAUAAUUAGAAAAAAAGGUUGCCAGAUAUGUGAUAAAGCUACUAGAAUUGUAAUUAAUCUCCUCUAACUUGUUUCAGUGCCCAUGUAACUUGUUUUGGUAGCUUGAUGGAUUUGACAUGAUUUCUCAUUACAUUGUUUUCCAAGUUUUAGUUUUAGUCAGUUACUAUAAAUGGUAGCUCCUAUUGUUUUCCUUCUUCCUUUCUUAGUCCUGUUAUUAAUGUUGAAUGAAAAUGGAACUUGGAUACUUCGUUUUCUAGAAGUUGCAUUGAGUCAUAGCAAAGAGUUAACUUGUCAGAGAUUUGGGAGUCUUGAUGCAACUCUUUGACAAUAUUUCUAUGGGCUCCGGCUCGAUGACUUAGUGAUCUUGCAAAAUUUUUUAUGGCCUGUGGAAUACAGUACAUGUAUCUAUGAAAAAACAUGGCCAACAUUUUUUAUUUCUGCUAGCUUUCCGAAUCAUGUAAAUUGUACCCUUUUUUAUAUUGGUUUUUCCUCCUAACGGAAUUUUCCUCACUUUUAGGUAUGAAGGUGAUUUGAGCUGCAACAAUCAUGCAUUCUUGCGUUGAUCGCUAGAUUCUCUUGUCCUUGAUACUGAAAGUGGAUAUAUGGCAUUCGGCAAGGACAUGUUUAAUUUGGAGAAUUAGGGAAUGAAGCCAUUGGUCCGGGAGCAUAUGCAUAUAUUUUUGUAUAAUAAUAUUGACAUAUCCAGUGAAUGAUUGAGGCAAUUUUAUAUAUAUUUAAUUUCAAUUUCAGUUAAAUGACUAAUUCGGUGCAGCCUAAUUCUGUUUUUUUACUUAUGUUUAUGUGCACUACACAGCUACAAGUUCUUCUAGUAUUUCACCUGCCACCCCAUGCAUCAAACUAGUAUUUUCCUAUUUUCUUAGCUCGGUAUUCAAAGCCAUAAAGCCCCAUAAUUUUUGUGCGGUGCUUUGCGCAUAAAUUGGAAGUAGAAUAAUUUACGGUGAUGGCUAUUUGCAUGUCGGCCAGGUGGUGGGUGGUAUUUCUAGAAUGGAUCAAUAAGCUGGCAGUUUGUAUCGAUGCAGAAACAAGUUGGUACUUCAGAAGCAAGCUUCAGGAGAAAAGAGGUAAUUAAUUUUUCUCUAGGGAUGUACACUUGGCCAAAUGGGUGGGGAAAAUUUUCAACUUUAUGUGCUGUUUUUACCGUCAUUAUUACAGGGAUCACAUUGGUUCAAAGGUAACUGGUACCCGUGUUUUUUGCUGUUCCUUUUCCCAGUUUGAUUGCCAGCUUGCUUGGUAAAGUUCAAUGUGAUGAAGAGAUCAGUUUUCUAGCCUUUUUUUAUUUUUGUCACCUUCAUCGUCUAGCUUAUGAGAUUUUUAUCACCGAUCAACACCAAGUAGAACGAGCUGCUGCGUAAUUCGAGAUAUGAUCCCAUAUAAAAUCGUGAGCGAGGAUGGUUUUGGCUGACAUGUACGUUGGUCAAGUCAACUUGGUUUCCUGCGCACCAUGUCGUUUCUCUUUAGAUCCACGCCAGUCGCAACACAGUCUGCUGUACCAUUAUGCAUUAUUGGACCCCUCGCAUCAUGAUCGAGAAAUUGGGAAUCCGCUGAGGGCAUCGUGAGGAUAUAACAGGACAAACACGAACGAGACGAGGUGAUGGUAGGUUGGUGGGUGGAACAGUAAAGAGGACAAAAGGGGAGAAGGGUGGCAGUGUUUAGCGUGAUAAGCUAUAUAGAUUUUUACCCUCGCUCUUUGCCAGCACUCUUUGUAUAUGUCUUGGAUGCUAGGGUGGAGCAAGACGGUAGGAGUCUUGCAACUUGUAUUGCUUGGCUGAUAUGAUCUGCACACAUUGAGCGCUUAUUUCAAAAGGAUCAUAAGUCCCUUUGGCAACUUACAUGCACAGUACUUUAAUUUGUUGUGGACGCAACAUUCAAUCAUCAGCAAAAUUGCUUUGAUACUUCGUUCUGGUACUGGGAUACUAUUUGUCAGUGGAUGCUGACUUCUAAAAUUCCUAAAAGUGUGCAGUGGCGACCUCCUCCUACUAGAGUAUUAAAAUUACAUUUUGAUGCUUUGGUUGUAUCUAGCGCCAAACUGCAGCAGGUUAUGUAAUUUGAAAUGAAGUGAAUCAACUGAUCCGAGCUGGUGGUAAAUUGUUACUACCCUCCUUGGUGCCUAAUGUUGAACUUACUGUAGCUUGGUUGAGCUUACGAAUUGCAAAACAUGAGUUGGAUGCACAAAAAAUUUAGUUGGAGGGUGAUUCUAAAACUGUUGUUUCUUGGUUAUCCUCUACAUCAUCACAUAAAAUGCAGCAUAAUCCAAUGUUAAGGGAUCUGACGCUAUGGAAAAAAUGAAACUGAGGUUUGUCAUAUCUCACGUGCUUUUGUGAAGCGAACGGGGCAGCUGAUUAUGUAACCAGACAGGCAUUGUGUGGGGACUCUAUGUGGCAGCUUGGGGACGUCAUUGAUAUGGAUUUUGGUGCUAUUCUUAGAGCAAAUGGGUAUUCUAUUGCUUUUUUUAGAUAUGUUGUGGCAUGAUGAAGAUAUAACCAUGUAUGCAUGCCUUCUUUGGCUGUGCGUGUUUGUUUGUUGCACUGUGAUUCCCUUGGGUAGUUCUUUGAUCCUUCACGGCCAACAUCAGCAGUGUCAGAUAGCUUAUUGCUCUGACAGUUCUAGAACUAUUUGUUGCAUGUUUCUAGUCCAGAUUCUUAUUUAUAGUUCUAUCUUGCUGCUGUUAUAUGGUACUCUCUAAACAUCUGAUGUCUAUUGGAAGAAUCAUCCAAUUUUUACUUGUGUAUGGGUAGGGUUUAUGGUUUAUUAUGAUCACAGCUAUUCUUUCAGUAAUCCUUUGCUCAUAUAGUAUUCACUUCUAUGUUAAUAGUUGUACAUCAAAGCAUUGUAGCACUGCUUUCCGGAUGACACUUCGGGAUUAUAUGGACUUUGCUGGUUAAGUUUUAUGUUGUUGGGCAUUUCUUUCUAACUGGACUCAGGUGCUGACACAAAAAAGAAUUAAUCAUCAUCCCUUAUUAAAUUAUUAAUUGCACCUCAUGGGGGUUGGACAUGGCUCAAGAUUAAUUUUUCUACUUGGGUAGAUGGUGCUGGUAUUUGCUAUGUUGCAUAUAUUAACUGGACUAUGAGUGCCCUUGUUUUAUUGAUUGCUGUAGGAUUAUUAACUGUAUGGGACUCAGCUAGUCUAAUUACUCUACGUUGUGCGAGAAUAUUUGCAACUGUUAUUAUGGUUUUUUCUCCUGUGAUCUACUGGUUCAGAAUGUGGGUUACUAUGAAACCUGCUAAUAUUUUCGUCAGCCAUUUUACUUCUUUCAUGAUCUAUAUAUUUUGGCUGUUGUCUAUUUGGCAGGUCGGUUCUCUCAAUCAAUAAUGCGUUGGUUCAACCACUUAUGUUACCAUCCUUUGCCUACUAUGAUCUGGAGCCUAUCAGUGGUCCUCUUAUCCUCUCUAUUGUGCUUUGAAGAUGCUUCACAGCUCAAUGUCAUACCAUCAUAUAUAUCAGGCUCGAAGGGGAAGUAGGCAUUCAUCAGUACAGGUGCCAGUGGAUUUUCUAUAAUCUUAAGAUCUGCUUGCUGGUGUCCGGCAUUUCUACAAAGAGAGGAGCUUUUCAUGAACUGUUCAAAACCCAGUUGUGUUCUUCGUCAGAUGUCUCACGGUUUCCAUCCUCUGGAGCUUUCAAAUGGGCUAUUGCUGUCGAAGGGGAGAUGUUGGGUUGGAGACACUGGCACAGGGAAGAAAGGUAUCAGUAGUUGCCUGUUUCUUUGUUGAUGCUCAAUUGGAAGAACUGUCUAUAUUUCUACAACUGUGGUCAUGGGACUUAUUGGAAGAACUGUCUAUAUUUCUACAACUGUGGUCAUGGGACUUUAUAUGGAGCUGCUUCAGAAUCAGUAGGUUGGACGGGGUGGUGGACUUCACCUGCUGGUUUUUAGACUCUUUUCUUUGUUUACGGGCAAUGUGCUGUUAUAUCAAACAAAUUUCUAGAUACCUCAUUGCUUUAGGUUGCUAUUGGUAUCGAUUAACUCCACAGGUCACUAUAUGCUUCCAUCCCACUGUCUUGCAUUUCAUCUGCGUGUAUACUCAGACAAAUGUCAGUGGAACCACUUAUUAUCUCACUCUAUAUAUUCUUUGGGUUCUGUUUUGUAUAGAAGAUGAUCUUAUUAUCUAUAUCCUAAUGAUGCACUGUUUUGCUUCACUUUUUGAGACUCGGUUGCUGCUUAUCAUGUUGUUCAGCAGCACUGGUAUAAAGCUUGUCAGAUGAAUUAUGUAUUAAUGAAACCUUCGGACCAUGUUCUACGAGAAAAUUAUUAAAAAAAAAAAAACCUUACUCAUGAGUGCGCAUGCAGCAUGACCGGACCGGACCGGACCCAAACCUCUCUGGUGCAUGCGAUUUUGGGCUCGUUGUUGGGUUUUGACCGUCUGAAGUCAAGCCAGCUUUCGUUCAACCCUCGGGACGAGCCUGGGCUGCCUGGACCGAGAUUUCUUCGUCCCUCCCAAGUUCAGGGUUUUUGGAGCAGCAGCAGACAGAGGCGAGCAAGGCGGCGGCAGAAGGCCACUUUCCUCCUCCUUCCCCUCUCCUCUUGUCAUAACUCUCCUCCUCCUCCACCUCUCAUUAACCAAUCAAUGGCUGGCUCUACAGCGACCGAAUUAUCUUUGUCUUCCCGGAUGAUCGGCCGGGAGACUGUGGGGAAGGCGGUGGACGCCCUCCUCAAGUGGAUGCGGGCGCAGGCGAGGGCGGGUGGAAGCCCUCCUUGACCCAGACGACGACCUCCUCUACAUCGUGCUCACCCUCAAGCGCAUCCCUCCCAAGUCCCGCAUCAAACCCUACCGCAUCCCCCUCCCCUACCCCCUCCACGAGCUCGCCUCCACCUCCGCCUGCCUCUUCCUUGACAACCGCGAUCGCUGCGGCCGCCGUCGUUCCUCCGCUUCGCUCAUCACGGCCGCCGCCGCCCUCGACCGCGCCCGCUCCCUCUCCCUCCCCCUCGCCGACGCCAUCCCCCUUUCCGCCCUCGCCACCGACUACCGCCCUUUCGAGGCCCGCCGCCGCCUCUUGGACUCCCACGACCUCUUCUUCGCCGACCGCGCCCUCCUCCCCCGCCUCCUCGGCGAGCACUUCUUCAAGAAGAAGAAGUUCCCCCUCCCCCUUGAACUCUCCCGCUCCGGCUGGUCCGAGCAGCUCCGUGCCUGCCUCCGCUCCACCCUCCUCCACCUCCGCGCCGGCUCCUGCAGCGUCCUCAAGGUCGGCCGCCUCUCCAUGUCCUGCGAUCAGAUCGUCGACAACGUCAUGGCCGCCAUUGAGGGGGCCAUGGCGCAUGUGCCCAAGAAGUGGGCCAACGUGCGCUCGCUUCAUGUCAGGGCGGUCAACUCCGUCGCCCUCCCCAUCUACCAGGCGGUACCCGAGCUGGGCCUGAAGAUCGAGGUGCCUGCGCGCAUGCAUCAGAAGAAGGAUGAGAUGGAGGAAGAUGCUGAAGAGUCCAUCGGAGAAGGAGAGGUUGUUCAGGAAGAAGAGAAGCCAAACUUGAAGGAGAAGAUGCGAAGGAAGGGAAGGAGGAUCCACGAACUGCCAUACACGGAUGCAGACAAUGAUCUUGACCUUGGGUAUGAAGAAUUUUUAAAUGGCGAGAGCGAGGACGAGGGCAUCCUGGAAGAAGAGAGAGGGGAGGCAAGGAUGGAGGAGACGAUGAAUAAGGGGAAGACACAGAAGAAUAAGACAAAGGAGGGUGUGGAGGUCAGAGAUGGAAUUCAGAAGAAGAAGGGGAAGAGAGAAGAUAAUAAUAAGAAUGACAAGGAGGAAGAGGACAAUGGAAAUGGAAAUGGUGAGUCAAUGGUGGCUGUGGCAAAGAAGGAGCUAAAGAAGGAUGGAAAGGUGAAGAAGGAAAAGCAUAUGGAAGGCAGGAAUGUUAGUAGUGCUGUUGAUUCAGUUCUAGAUAGAAAUUGUAAUGCUGGUAAAGAUGGUGAUGUUGAUAUUCUUUCUGGAGAAGAUGAAGAGGAGAAAGGGGGUGCAGGAAAGAAGAUGAAGAAGUCAAAGAAAGAUGAUAAGAUGAAAAAAGGAGAAGGGUAAGAGAAGCAAGAAUGAUGGUUGUGAAGAUGAUCGUGGGCACAAGGAUGGUGGUGCAGAAGAAAGUUAUAGUGGAAAGACUAUAGAGAAGAAGGUGAUGAGGGUGAUCAAGGAGAAUGCAAAGGUGAAAAAGGGAAAGGAUGGAAUGACAGACAAGAAAAAAGCAUGACAAACAGACUGGAAGACAAGGAGGUGAAGAAGAUCAAGAGGAGUAAGUUGAGACAUGAAACUGAUUGAUGGAUUUUUGAAGGAGCUAGAUAUCUAUUUUCUUUUGAUCUCAACUGGCGAUCUUAGACUUGUUACUAAUCAAGAUUGGCUGUGUAUUCAUAGCCUAUUCCUCAGGUUUUGGUAUAUCCUAUCCAAUUUAGAUAUUAAAUUUCAGUUGCGGAAUUUUUUUCCCCACUGAAGAAAGAAGCCAUCUAUUACAUUUUUUCAAUCAUUUAUCUUAUAUAGUUAGUUGAGAUAAAUUAUGAAAACAGUUGGCAGCUACUGGUGCUUAUUUGAUGAUGGUUAGUGGGCACUAAUUAUGUAUGUCUUCAACUACUUUUGUAAUGUUAUUUGAGAGUGGGUUCUCAUGUUUGUUGACUUGUUCAUUUUUGAUAUAUUUUUUUUCAAUGCCAUUGCAUCCAAGGAGAUUUCUAACUACGUGUAUAAUUUGAAAAAGUAAACCAACAAUUAGCUGAUAAAUAUGAUUCCUUCAUGUGACUCUACCAGUCCCUUCCUGCAACAAGCUUGUCAAGUUAUCAGUGAACAAAUUCACAACAAUACUUCUUCAAUCUAUCCUAAUUUAAAAAGGAGAAAAAAAAAAGAUGAUUAAAAAUUUAUAAAAGUUCAUAAAAGAUUUAUCUUGUUAUUUAAUCUUUUUCUAUCCCUAAAAUGAAAAGAUAAAGUUGGGUUGUUUGAGGUUGGUCUAGCAACAUCUAAAAUGUGGUAUUUAGUUGAAAUUGUACUUUAUAAUGCAGUAUGUUCGUUUAGAAGUCAAAAGGUUACUUCUUGUUAACCUUUAUAAAUGUGACCUAGAUAAAUUUAGCAAGUCUUAAUGUACAUUUUCUAUCAAAGAAAAAAUAGAUACAAGAAGCCAAAUAAAUGAAGGAGAAGAUAAAAGAGUUGCUUAUUUCUUAGUUGUUAUCUCACAAUCUUUUUUCCUUAGAUGAAAGGAUUAUGUAAGAUUUACAAGAUCUUAAAAUUAAAAACUAGGAAAUUAAAGAAUUUGAAAGAAAGGAGAAAUUAAAUAUUUAAUGGAUCUUCUAGGCUAGCAUCAAUGUAUCUGCUUUAAAUUUAUCCUAGAACCAAAGAAAGGAGGAAGAAGCAUUCAAAUUUUGGCAGAUUGUGGAACAAAAGGAAGGGAACAACUUAUGGUGAUGCUUGGUGGAUCAUAUAAUAAUUAAAAUUGCUUUGUAUAAAAAAUGAUUUCUUUUUUUUUUUAUAGGUUUCUAUUUCAGCCUGCUAGGAACUGAUUAGUUGGGCAAUCUACUCACCUAUCUACCCAAGUUUGUCUCACUUGGAAUCUUGAACCUUUACAACCAUUCAUUGCAUAUUUAGCAUAAAAGAGUAGAAAAAAUGGAUAUGUAUAGGAAUUCCCUUACCCUUGUUGGAGGAAAAUAUGAAAAAAAUAGAAAUGUACAAUGUCCUUUGCCAUUUGUCUUGGUAGUUUAGCCUGUAGGCUAGUGCAGACAACACAGGCAUGGGUAGCCACUCUUGUAGGCCACAUGGUCGCUAGCCUGCCUUCUGCAAACAACAUAAUGCAAUGCCCAUUCAGUUGGGUACUCGAACCACAUCUACCCCAAAUUCAGUGGGAUUUUCAAAAUAUCAAGUGUAUAUACUGAUGUUUCUGCCAUUUUCUUAGUGCUCUGUGUUUCUGAGGGUUUGUGAUGCCUUUGCCAUUCUUCUUGGUACUACAGAUUGCUUAUCCAUGUGGACAUGCCAAACCAAACCUCAAUUACCAGACAUUUUCCAUUGGAAUAAGUACCUACAUCCAUCGCCCUUCUCCCUUGAGGCCAUAUCGACAUGCAAACUCAUACCUCCCACCAUGCAUCCCCUUUUCAUCUUGUUCCCUAAUUGAAUAAGUAAUGAUAUUAGAAAUCCCAAAUUACAAUGUCUCCGCUUAGCUCAUUAUGAUCUUAGUAUCUACUCCCUGUGUUUGUUGUUUCCUAGUUGUCUCAUUUGGUGUCUUAUUUCCAGUUCCCCCUUUUAAUCAUGAUGGUCAAAAUUUCAUGCCUAUGCUUCCUUCCACAAGGUCAUUUAGACAUGUAUCUUGUAUGAACCCAUUUGUGUGAGACACAUGAUUGGAUAUAUUUGUGUAUAUUGUAUUGUAUCACUGGACCAUGAAAAUAUUCACUAUCACAAAAAAGCCUUUUUAACCAGAGGGAUUAUGUACUUAGUACAAUCUGUGUCUGAUGUUGCACUAGGUUACUCUUGAUGCUCAGGUUCAAGUAACCUAUGUGUGCCAGGGAUAUUACAACCAAACUUACGUUGCAUAUGUAUUUUGCAGAACUGUCUUUUUAUACUAAUGUUGCUUUGACAUUACAAUGAAGGUUGGUUUUGUUGAUAUGAUUUAUAUUUUUUAUGUGGUACUUACUGGAAAGAGUCAAAAGGCAAUGGACAUCCUGAUUUGUAGCAUAUAAUGUGCUAAAAAUUAUCAAGCAUGUAUUUCCUAGGUCCAAAACAAGUGUGCUCAUCUUUGUAGUUUGUCAAUCUGUCUUCUAAUGCGUAUUGUAUUAUGUCAUGCAUCUUUUGAUGCUAGCACCUGCUGAUUUUGACAUGAUAUACUGAAACAUGCAUUCCAUGCUGAGCACUAAGAUAUAUAUAUAUAUAUAGACAAUUCUUCAGAAGGUGGUGAGUCAUAUGCUUCUCAGCAAUCACUUUCAGCAUUAUUAUGUUACUGGAGUAGAUUUGCUGAUUAUUGGCUUAGUUCAGACACAAUAUACCCUUCAUAAAAGGAAACAAAAAAAAUUGAUUGACAUACAUACUUAUCAAUGGUUGUUUUUAAAGUUUGUGUGCUUUGGAAGGAAAGUGGCUUAUUGCUCAGGACAAAAGUCAUCAAAUUGAGGGCAAGUUUGAAAUGUGCAAAUUUCUGUGUAUAUUUAUCUUGUUUGAUUGCUAAUGAUGUUCUGUUCAUUGUUCAUACUUUGGCAUAAGUAGCAGAUUAUGCCUUGAUAAAGUUGUGGUUUAUAUUGCUAUGAUUGUUUCCAUCAUAUGUAGCUUCAAAAAGUAUUCUGUGUUCAUGUAUAUUGCAAAUUGGUGCUCUAGAUAUCCAUUCAGCUGGACUUGCAAUGUUGAAGGACAUGAUGUUCUUCUUAUGCAUGUGACUUGAUGGUGGCUUUUUUUUCUGAGGAAAGAUGAUGGCAUGUAGUAGUUGUUCAAUCAUGUAUAAUAUUAGGUGAUGGAAAUGCUUAGUGGCAAGGGUUAUCUUUGUAUGUUGUGCGCCUUUUUCCUUGCUGCAUCAUCUGGUUCUUUGUAAGUAAGAGUCAACCUUCAGUUGUCCUGUUAGAGAGGAAACAAGCCUCCCAAUUGAUUACUGUUUUUCAGACUAUUUGAAGACUUGCUGCAUGAGUGCUCUUUCUUUUUUCGAUAUGGUAGUUUCCACAUAUUCCCUUUUCCAUUUUAUGGACUCUUCUACCUAUUACUUUUCUCCAGCAAUGGCGUCGUUUUUCUGAGAAGGUUGUAUUAGAUUGGACCUAAAUUUGAUUGAAACCAGCUAAGCUUUAAACCCUUCAUUUCAUCCAUAAUUUGAAACUAAAUACUAACCCUAGAAACCAAAACCUUGGAUUUUUUUUUGUUGGGUAAAACGGGAAAUUUACACGGCCUUAGUAUGGAUAAAACCCUUCGCAUUUGAGAGGGCACAGAUGAGUAAGCUUUGCGCAACACAGCCUGUGUGAUUGGCAGCAUAUGAAGCCACCUAAUCUGCAGCACUAUAACCUCUCUAUACACAUGCGCAGCUCGAAAUAACUAAUAAACCCAGAUAGUUUAGAUGGCUUAGAUUUGCACAAAAUCAUUUCAUCUUCUUCCUGCAAUGGCUUAGAAUGGUUCUUUAAUAUGAUUUUGUGAUGUUUCAGGUGGAUUGUGGAUUGUUCCAAAUGGUUUCUAGAAUGCUCUUAUAUGUGGUUAACUGGUGUUGUGCAUGUGGAUUUCUCGGUUUAUGUGGGAGUAUUAUGAUUAUCAUUUGAUAUUUUCUUUUUCUGAAUUUGACGAAGUAUUGCUUUAAUAUUCAUUGAUUUUUUUUUUCUCGAAUUUGUUAAAGCUGUUCUUUAUUGCUUUAAUAUUCAUUGACUGCAAUUUUUGAAAAGUAGGGUAAACCAUAGAUAACUAUGACUAACUACAGGAGUGUAGAUAGGCAUAUGUAGUUGUCCUUGUUGAUGGUAGUCUUAAAUUUUAUGUAUAUUUGACCAUAGUGAAAUUACAAAAAUGAAAACAGGUCUGGACACAGACAGUUCUGUUGAUAUUCAUUGAGUUUGGUUGCACUAUAUAUUCUGUUAUUUUUGUACUUGGUAUUGCCGUAAGGAUCAGUCCUUAAACAGUGCGUGUUUUGAAACAUAGCUCUGCCUGUUUUCAUUUAGGUAAUCCCGGCUUUACAUACACUCGUGCACGGUCUUGGUAUUGAAAAAUAGACGCCCAUGAAAACCAAGAGCCAGGGUUCGAAAGCCUGGUCAAGAUCGCACUAUUGUUUGAUGGCAAUUAAUCCAAGGACUGGACCUCAGUUUCCCAAAAGAAAAGAAAGAAAAUAGGUGAAAUAAACUCCUCUUUAUUGGCAUCAAGAUUUUAGAUAAGUUUGUUAUGCACCUUCGCAAGGGAAAACCAGAAUAGGUGUUUCUCGGACUGCCUUGUGCUUGAACACUGGUUGAACGCAAAUCCUUGUUGGAUUAACCUCCCCAUGGCUUUAUGUUAAUGUGCUUCUAGUGAUCCUGCUAUAAUCUUUCAAAUUGACCCUCUUGCACCCGUCUGUACUUUUUGUACUGGAGGAGUUAAGUUCCGUGGUGAGUUCCCAGCAAGCUUUAGCUCAAUCCUAAACGCUGAAAUCCAUUUAUAUUGGUUGUAGUCCUCGAGAGAAACAUAGUUGUAUUGAUAUUUGAAGAAUACCGAUUAGAUUUCUCUUAGAAGUAAUUCCUGACGGUUAAUUAGUACACUGAAGUUCUAGUAUUCCAUGAUUUUGAAGAUUUUCCUUUCCUGAAAAUUUGCUGAUGCUUAACAAGCCUGUAUAAGUUAAGCAUCUGGAUCUCCCCUGUUUCCGAAUGCAAGUGAUAAUGAAAUGGCUGCUUAAUAUUAUUUAUGAUGUUCCAAGUGGACCAUGGUCUGAUCAAAAUGGUCCUAGCACCUUUUAGGCAUUUUAGGAAAUCAUGAUUGUUGUGCAUGUAAUGAAGCUUGGAACAGCAAUUAUUGGUUGGUAAGCUGUCGCACCAAGGGAUACUUUGUUUAUAUUUUAACUGACUACAGGAUUGCAGAAACUGCAGAAAAUGGUCUUUUGCGAAUCUUCAGCUAGAUCUGUUAGACCCUAUAGUUUGGUUGGGGCUGGUGAUUUCUUGUUAGUUUAUAGCAGUUGUCACAAAUGCUCUGUUUUCUGAAAACGUUGGUCGAAUGCUUCAUAUUUUCAAACUGGUCAUGGUUGGACGGAAUGAGGUGCCACGAAGAAAAUGGUGAGCUGGUUGGAUGUGGAAGCGAAUGAAGGUUCCAAAAUACGGACGUCGUUAGCAGUGUCGUCGCCUCCCAUGAGAUGGAUGCAUUUAGUCAAAAAAGAGUAUAUAUUAUUUACCAAAAAAAAGAGUAUAUAUUGAAAUACUUGGACCGUGUAUCUUAUCUGUGUAUUAAUCGAGAUUCCUGAGUUUCUCGGUCAUAUCAGAUUAUCUUGCACCCUCUACGUCGGCUAGGGAUGAAGUGAUAUCUCAGCUGAUCUUCAUACUUACCAGCUGCGACAACUGAGGUGACACAGCGGACUUUUGGAAUACUCGACCAUUAAGGCUGCACGAUAUUAUGCUUAAGGCUGCACAGACUAGAGGGCUCGUGAGUCAGGUUGGUUCAGCCGGAGAGCCAAUUUGGGCUUAGGAUUGGCAACUUUUGCUGGGGAUGAGAGCCCUACAUGAACAUGAGGUAAGCAUACUAGCCUGUAUGAUACUUGCUAGCCCACACAUGGUUUAGAUAUAGGGCGGCUUUGCGCCUUUAGGCUUUAGUGCGUGACAUUCAUAUAUAUAUAUAUAUAUAUAUAUGGGCCCAAAAUGGUGUGGCCAACUAAUAACCCUACUAUUAAAUCGUUACAUGUUCGCAAUUGUGUAUGGUUUAUGUCAGAGUACCGGCUUAACUUCUAGCAAAGCAUCUGCCCGAAGGCCCAGAACCAAGCAAGGAAUAUCAAAUGGGAAGCCACCUGCGCCUAAAGUCGACCAAGUAAAGGAUGUAGACGGCCGCUGCUCCCUGAGAUCUACCGAACUACCGUGCACGAGUCGCCCCUCCAUUCGCAUGCGCACACCAGGCCUGUUUUGUGGAAGGAAAUGAACACUUGCCCAGGUGACCGCGACUCAGCUGAGGGAAGCCCAGAAACUUUUAGACAUCCUAAGAUUUAUUCUAAGAACGCAUAUACUGUUUCUAAAUUUAUACUUGAAUUAAAAAAAAAAAAAAACUUCAGCUGGAUCAUUGAAAAUCGUACAAAAGUAUGUAUUCUGAAAAGCCAGAAUUAGAUUAGUUUAUCUAGUAAGCGUAAUUCGCGUCAAUUUGAAAAUGUUGGAAUUCUUUUUUCCUAGUUCAAAUUUUUGAAAGCAUAGAGUGGAUGUGCAGUGUGGGUUGGCAAAUUUUGGUCCUGGUUUGAGUUUAUUUACCUAGAAAUCAAAGUUGACCGAACUGGACCAUAAUGAGGCUUUUAGACUGGAUUUAGUCAGUUUAAUAUGAAAUUAGGAGGAUAUAAGUAGAGAUACAUGCACCUAGAUCCUAAUAGGUCGGUUGGUUAGGUUAAGAAUGGAGAGGUGGCGGAAUAGAAUUACCGGGAUUAGGAUUUGACCUAGUUUAAGGUUUGUAGGUCCGAGGUUUCAUUUCAUGAGAUGAUAGCUGAGCAAGGGAGUUUAUUUACGGCAAGUCCGGAAGUCUACGUAGAAAAGAUGCAUGCCACCGUAUAAAUCGUAGAAGCUGUAACACGCCUUCGUAAUAAUGGAACCGGGGAAGGAAAUUUAUUACAGAUGCGACAUGAGAGAUCUCAAUUGUGUCUCUGGUCGGUUACAUCUCUCAAUCUAUUAUUCAGUACCAUUAUGAAAUAGGAAUGUUGAGCUUUGGAUUAGUACCGAGCGUGACAUGACAUUGACAGCCUGUAGCUAACUACCAUACCCCAGGUCUUCAUGCUUUAUAUUGAUGCGUACACACUGUUUUAGAUGCUGUCUUUUUUUUUUUUGGGUAAGGUUGUACUCCUGUCUUGAAUUGUAUGAUUUACCCACAGAUAAAAAUCCCACAUCAGGUUUUGGUCCUGGCAGUAUCUACAGGCAAAACUGCGAGGAUCAUGGAGCAUGUAGAUUGAGAAUCAAAGAGCGAUCAUUAAUCUGUCCCGGUUCCGUCGGUUGAUAAAUAUAAUUUCUUUAAAUAAUCUAGUAGAAGCACCAAUAUCGUUAACUGGUCUACUGUUUGACCAUCACGCUUUCCACCACAAGGAGUGUUUAGAGUCGAAGUUGCACUGCAAUUUUAGUCGUAUUGCAAUUUAAAUUAUGCUAAUUGAUUUACAAGGAAGAGAGUAUCCAUUGGAAGAGAGCAGGCUGCACUAGUGCAGAUCUUGAAAAGGAUAGAAAAAAAUGAAGGAGAGGUGGAUGGGACGGGGAGCUAGAGACGGCACAUAGCAGCAUAAAGGCAUAGGGGAUGGGAGCUGCGGUAGAGAAGGUGGAGCGGACAAGAGCGAAGGGGAAGAGAGAUUUUUUUUGAUUAUCUACUUGAGUGGGUCGCAAUACAUUUCAUAGUCACUUUGACCAUAACUCUGAUCUAUCAUAAGGUAAUAUUAACUUGCAGCCUAACAUAUAAUUCAACUUACCAGAAAAUUUAAGUUGCGGGUACUUCAAAUAGGCUGCAAGCACCCCCCGUUAAUAGACUCCAAGCAACCCGUGACAUGAAUGAAUACAAGACAUUAGAUGUGGUUGUGGAGUUGGCCGUUGUGAAUGGAAUAUAGAGCGUGGGACCUGAAACCAGGCCCGCGUGCUCCAGCUACCACGCUCCGUGCGCGCAAGUCAAAAGGCGAUGGCUCUUCUAACCAAGCAACUCUGAUUCAUCUAUAAACAAUGUCCCCACCUAAAUUCUCACGCUCUCUGUCCUCGUAUCAUUUCACUUGUACCGAAAGCAAGAGGCUGGCAAAGAGGUUUUGUAGUUGGUAGCGCUUUGGAUGCGCACCUUUAUCAGUUAAUCCAGCUUUUCGGUAGUCUACCACUCUUUUGGUUCGGACUUCAUGUCCCUAUCUCUCCUUUACAUUUAUGAAAUCUCUUUACCACCCAAAAGUGGGAGGACCAGUGCGUAUGUCACAUGGUCAUGGGUUUUUUUUGUUUUGGUACAAUCAUGGUCAUGGGUUUCAGUCCUUGUAUUCCCUCCUUUGCUGCCUUUUUUAAAAGCAGGUUGAUGCCGUCUAGCUUUCAGACUGUGAAUUUAAGUUGACUGAGGAAAGAAGUGGCAUUAAUUACUUUAAUGCAAAGUCACUUUCAAUGUGGUUGUUUCGUCGACAUGUUCCUGUCAUCCCUUUAAUCAUCCACCGAAGAUAUGAUCUCUAGGCAUAUUUCUGCAAAUUGGCUUAUGAGAAAUCGAAGCAACUUAAGUUAUUGUUCACUUGUGUAUAUUUUCAUUUUUUAAGAAGAAUUAUGAAUGUUCCAUUAUGACAGAAAACAUUACAUCUUGUGAUGGUGAGUGGAUAAAUUUUGGUAGAUAUAUCAACCAACAGCUUUCCUGCUAGAGCUCAAGCCACCGCUUUGCCAUUACUCGAAACAUGCGAGGAAAGGGAGUCCAAAGAGAGAACAAGCUUUAUAUGUGAUGGUGAACUCCUUACCCAUUAACCCUAGGUCCCAAAGAAAAGAAAGCAGAUUGACAUGUUCGGGCUUUACAGUUAUCUCAAAGGUGUCACAGGAUGGCUAGCUACUCGAUCACUCCAAAUGGUGUUAACUCCGGGCAUCCGCACUUGCAUUCUUUGAUUUGAGCAAUACUUACCUACCUAACAAGCGGGAAGGACUUCAGAAUUAAUGAAGCUAAACUAGUUAUUACGACUUGAUCUCUCUCCGUGGACGUGUCUCAAGGCUACCAAAGAUCUAUCCUUAGGUGACAUAGGAUCCCUCACAACACCUAUUAACUGUCCUUGGAACCAUCAACUCCUAGGCUGAAAGCUUGUCAGGACGCUGGUUUAGCAACGGUGAGGUCAUCAUGAGUUGUCGGUGUCUUGGAAAUAUGAGCAGUCGUUGGCAUAGUGAAAACUGCAGGACAAGCAGCCUACCAACCCUAUGAAUCCAUUAGCUUGCUCUCAUCUAGUUCUUCACCAUAAAGUAGCGAGCCCAAAGUUACAACAAAAGUGAAAAGUCCAAGCUGUGGGCUUUUUAGGAAGUCUAAAAUCCAAAUCGGAGAGUUUAGGGUGGGUUGAAUUUAGCUUCAUAUGAAGGAAUGCUGAUCUGAAGACCACAUACGCAUAUUUUACUCUAUAAAAGAAAAAUACAGUUCUCUCAAACCGGGUAUCAUGUGCUUCAAACUAAAAGCAUGUCUGAAAAAAAUAUCGACUCAUUGAAGUAAACAGAACCUAUCCUGUCUCAGAUAGGAUAAAGGAAUAUGAAUUUGCUCACAAAUUAUCAUCUCUAGUUAAGACAUGACAGGCUCAUCACCUAAAACACUCUCUUACCCAAAUUGCAUUAGUAAAAAUCAGAUGACAGACUUCUACGCUGGGGAGAAUCAAAAACUCUGAUACGACGCAGAUACGCAUAUUUUAGUGCUUUUUUAUUAACUUAUCCUGUAUGGUACUUAAUAUUUUUUGAUGAAACCUGUAGAUACUUAUCGCAUACCACCUUAUCCACCAUGAAUAUAAUAUUUUAUAUCAAUUCUUCGAGGUUGCUAAAAUAUUGCGUCACAUGGGAUGCUGCAGGCUACUCCGCGGUCAUGAUAUAUAUCUCUUGUGUACAAAGGCAAGAGACAAAAUCUGCAGUAAACCCUAGUCGACCAGCUCUCUCAUCAACAAUCGAUUCAAUACGCUAUUUAUCAAUUUACACACCAGUAUCACAUGGGCAUGAUCAUAAGUUCUUCGAACGCCACAAGCACAGACUCCAAAACCCAAAAAAGAGAACGAGUUAGACGAUAUGAAAGAUAGUAUUAUAAACUUUUAAUACCUGCAUCAAAUAAAUAAUAUCCCAGGUUGCCGUCGGUGUCAAAUGGCGCCAUAUGAACCUUUUAUAGCAAGCCUUUUUUUUUUUUUAUCAACUUUUAUAGCAAGCCUUAACCACAGGAAAAAGAAAAAGAAAAACCAACCAAAAGCACCUAGUACCUUUUUAUCACAUACCUCACACCCUCCAGAUCCUAGCGCACAACCUGUAAGCUUUUACAUCACAGCACAACUACUGGUGUUCUCGUCACUGAAAAGAUGGGCACCAUAAUCACCGGUCUCUGGUUGGUGGUGGACCUGGUGGUAGAGGUAAGGACUUGGAUAGUAGGGAUAGUAAUAGCCAGUGUAGGGUGGGAUUUGAGGAGCCCUAUUGUACAUCAUCUGGGGUUGCAUGUACCUGCUUUCAUUCACCAGCGUGUUGUUGUCGAGUCCCCUGGAGUUCAUCAUCAUGGCUGAUGGAUGGUUCUGAUAGGCUUGCAGGCUCCCCAUCAUGGGUGCCUGAUGGGCCCCACUAAGCCCGCCACCACCAUUUGCUGGGAAGCCUGUGGGGAGGGUGUUGCCAAGAUGCUGCUGCUGCUGCCGCUGCUGCUGCUGGGCUUGGUGGAACCCGAACACAUUGUUCCCACCAAGCCCUUGGAGGCCUCCCAUGCCCAUCAAGCCAUUGACAUCACCCACCCUCCUGCCUUCCCCUGCAUUAAGACUGCCACCACCCAAGUGGGCAACAUUACCCAUCUUGUAGUUGGGGAAUGCAGCGUUUAAGCCCUUCUGGUCUGGCCCAUUCGGGCCCUUUAGCCCCAUAUUCUGGUUCGCGUGCCCACCCCCUUUCUUUCCGGCUACAUUGUUGUCAUUCCCACCAGCAUUGCCAUUUUUCUUGGCAUUAGCUGCCGCUGCUGCUGCAUUGUUUGCCUGCCUCAGUAGAUUGAGUUGAUUCAUCUUAUCGCCAAGGAGCCGAAGCUCAUCAACGUCAAUCUCAUCGUCGUCGUCGUAGUCCUCGUCGUCGGAGCUCAAGGAAUCAAACUUGUGUUGCUGGUUCUUGAAGGCUUUGAGUCCUUGAAUGAGGGCCUGGUUGGGCUGGCCUUUGCUGUUCUUGGUGCCAUCUUUAAGGGAACGGGCAGCUUGGUGCUGCUGGUUGAGCUUAUAGCUCUGGUUGUUGGGCUUCUGAGUCCAGAGCUCUGCAUACUUGCCCGACCUGGCCAGCUUCUUGAUCAGGGUCUUGGAGUCCACAUUUCCUGAGACCGUGACCUUCUGUUGCUCUGCAUCUAUGCUGACUGUAUAGACUCCUGAAUGAGAUGGAAAAAGGGUCAGAUAUGUGUGCACAAGCUAAACAAGAUGGUCAUUUAGAACCAGGAGGAUGGUAUCCAGAGUUUACCCGGCUGCAUGUCACCAGCAUCAAUUAGGAAAAUGGUAAACAAAAGCAAUAUAUAUAUAUAUAUAUAUAUAUNNNNNNNNNNNNNNNNNNNNAAUAUAUAUAUAUAUAUAUAUAUAUAUAUAUAUAUAUAUAUAUAUAUAUAUAUAUAUAUAUAUUUGUUUUUGUCUGAUUAAGAAGUUUUUAAGCUGGGGUAAUGAUCAAACAGCGACAAGAAACUAAGGCCCUGAACCACAAGAAGCAGAAAAGGAGGACAACCUCCGGACGUGUGUAGAAAUCCAUGAUUUGUUUAUUGUAGAGGUGGAAGGAUAUUUCCAUCCAUCCUAACCACUUUCCUAGUAGAAGAAAUUUUAUACAAGAAAACUGUUUAAAAUGAGAGGCAACUUUUAUAAACUGGCCAAAUUUUCCCUUAUUGCCCUUUUCUAGGAAGAUCGAGGCACUAUGAGACGUAUAACUGUAUCAAAUUGCUCUGAAACUGUCUAGGUCCUCCUACUUCAUUUUAUAGAUUUGUAUUCUUCCACCACUUGCAUCAAAAGAAAAAAAAAUUUAAAGGUUGGAGGCAAUAAAAGAAAUAGAAUAAAAUGGAUGCCCACAGCUCUUGAAAUUUUCAACUAUUUAUGUCCAUCUCGAGAUAUUUCAGACCUUGAUUUAUUAUCAAAUUUAAGAAGAAAUAGGAAAAUAUUUUUUUGAAAAAAAAUCCAUCUAGUAUUAUCUCACCUUAAGUUUUGGAAAUUUUCUCUCAUUUUCCUUUCUUGAAUUGACAGCUAUAUGGAUAAGAAAUGUACCUUCAAUCCUUUGAAGAAGCUUCUUCACCUCCUGCUUACACCCAUCACAGUGUAUGUGCACUUUGAGAAUGAACGUCUGCAAGCAACAACAUACAAAUAAACAAAUCAAAAUAGCUCCCUUCACAUCCUUCCCCCUUCUCAAGACACAUCAAGGAUUUUUAAGAGAGAGAGAGAGAGAGGGAGCGAGGGACAGGAGGCAAGGAUGUGGUACCUGGAUCUUGAGGAGCUUAAAGUCAUCAGCUUUAGUCAUUUCUACUGCUGUUGAUGUGGCUGCUGAGGAAACUAGAAACUAUAACUCUGGUCACACACACACACACACGCAGAGAGAGAGAGAGAGAGAGAUGGAGAUGGACUAAGCCACCGCUACUACUUGCAAGAAAGGGUUGUGGUGGUGGCGGUGCAAAGAGGACUUCUCGUUCAUGAAUGGAUUCUACCCUCCCCACCUUCCUCUUCCACUACAUGCUCUCAUUAAACCCCCACAUGGAUGCUCCACUCAAUAUAUAUGGGAGUGCCUGCCUGCCUCUGGCCCCGGAAAAGCCAUCCAACGGCCAAAACGAAGGAGCAGAUGAUCGAAGAGAGAAAGAGAUAUGAUGUGAUUUGACGUUUAAAUCCAAGGAAAAAAAGUCAGUAAAGGAGCACCGGCGACAUGACGAGGGCCCACUCCUUCCCCCUACUUCUACGCAUAGCCUCUGUCCUUUUCUCACCGUGGUUGUCCCCUGUUUUACCGCGAGAUGAUAACACUGCUACAGGAGAAGAAGGCACGUAUACUUGGUUUCUCUUUCUAUCUGGUUAGUAAACACCAUCCACCUUUACUUUUUUUCCGAACCACGCUACGUACUUUGUUAAGAAUGAGAUGAGGUUAGUUUUAUCGUGCUGAGGAGAAUGUCCCCAUGGAGAUUAAUUGAAGUGGGCCAGACAGCAUGUUCAUGGAGGCAGACUCAACCCAAAAGUCGCAGUCUCUUGCUUUAUGUUGCUUGAACUCUGGUGGAUGUGGCUUUAGAUGCUUGCAUGGUAGCAUACAUUCUACUGAGUGGCUUUUUGUUUAAAAAAAAUAUGUGUUUAUUUUGUUUCUGCUUGCACAUAGAAAAGAAAAGAAGCCAGCUGAUUUGUUGAUGCGGUUUGGAAAAUGGAGGGGAAUGUUGCACCUGAUCUCAUAUAUCCCUCCAUUCUAAGAACUUAAAUUUAGCUAUAAGGUUUUCUGUAUAAUUUUUUAAUGGAAAAGGAAGAAAGGCAAGAUUCACCGCCUGAUGUAUGGGACAUUCUGGUUGACGUUUCAUGCGCCAUGAUAAGACCUCAUCUGGUGUAUCAUCAUAUUCCGAGCAUUAGGAAUGGAUUUGAAAAGAAAAGAGUUGCAAGGAAAUCAACUUUUUUGUUUAUAAAUGCAUGUGUUCCCAUUAUUUCCCCCUGUAGCUUGUAGGUUCAACUUUAUCUUCAUGGACUGGUUUGGUCACAAAAACAAACAAUUAAAUAGAAACAAAACAUUGCAUCGACAGAGAAUCCAAGAAAAAGGAAUUGACAGUGUAGGACUUGUCAGAGGAAAGGUAGGGAAAAUCCACUUGGUGGAAUUAUGCAAGUCUAAAUAUUGUGAAAAAUACCUUCCAAAUUUUUAAGCCCGAAAUCUCCUAUGCUAAUCCGGAACGAUCCAAGACAUAAAGUACACACAAAAGCAGAGAUGGUGGAAAAAUUACAGAUAAUUUAUUACCCAAAAUAUCCUCGUAUAGUUUGUGGGUUGUCGAAGAGCAUCGCACCAAAUGCAGAAUAAAAACAAUAGAAAGGUGAUACAGACUACAUGAGCAUCGCAAUGAUGAAAUAAAGACAAAUAGAUGAGGGUGUGCUACAGUUUGAAAACCUUGAUGUCUUCCUAUGACUUUUGUGUUAUUCUACUAAUUAAGAAUCAAUAUCCAGAAAAAGGAAAUAAAAAAAAUGAACAAAUCCACUUACGGAAAUUGAAUAAGAUACAAAUAGAAGGAGAUAAGUUUCUCAGUUUCUUUUGAUAAGCGCUUUGUCAGAGCUUUGCUACCGAAGGAGGCCCUCCUCAUUUUGUUACUGCAAUUGAUCCAUGAUGACCUACACUACUGUUGAUCAUGGAGAGCUUGGAAUUGCAUUAAAGGUUUUUAUGAUGUGACACAUGACAUUGAUUUGGCUUUCCCUUCGUAUGGUUCCGUUUUCUUUGAGCCAUGUAAAGGACAUUAGCGAAAGAUAAAAUGAUUAAUGCAGCUAGGAUUGUUGUAUUAGCAUGUUUGGUUAUUAACUGGGUUUAAUUAUUUCUGUUGCUAUUAGUUUUUGAGUACAAUUAACAGCAAGAGAUAUUCAUGCCUUCAUAUUCCCCAUAUUAAUUAUAGGUUUUCCUUCUAAUUUACACGCUAGAUGAACACCAACGCUGGUCCUUCUACUCACCUCGGUCCAAUUAGUUGAUGGCAUGUGUUAGCUUGGGUGGUCCAGCUAGAGAUUUCGGGUAAAUUGAUGAUUAGUAUAGUUGUGAACGGCAGUUGUUUAAUCACGUAAGAGGAGGGAUUUGGGAGGUAUUUAAGGUCAUUUAUAUUCUAUAUUACUUUUGGCGGUGAAACUUUAGGUAGUUAUGUUUUUCUUUUACAGUUUUACAAAUAGUGGGGCUCCGUGGAUACAGAAGUCAUGCACCUUGAAAAAGAUGGCAGAGAUUUGGAUUAUUAUGUUAAGACGUUGCAUGUUGACUGUACUGGCCAUUAAUUCAUUACGGAUAAAAAAAAGUCUGAUCCAAUGCACGACGAUCUUAUUGCUGCAAAGUCUGAGAAGAUCAAAUAUAUGCAAAGUUUAUCCUCACAAGGGAGAUUAUUUUUAUAUUUUAAAUUUAUAAAAUCCAAAUCAUAUCAAGGUAACUCUAUCAUUGCUUCAAGACUGGCUCUUACUUUAAUCCACUAUUAAUAUAGUAAAAUUUAAUAAAUUAAUCUUGAUUCGGCAUGAUCUAAGAGAAAUUAUAAAAAUCUAUUUUAAAUUUAAUUUAAGCCGAUCAUUAUGAAAUAAAUAAGAUUGGAUUCUAAAUUUUGAUCCUACUUAAAUUUGGAUGGAAUUUGGGCAUAUCCACAAGCCUCGGUGCAUUUUUCAAAUUUGUAUGCACAAGCAUAUAUUUGUAUUUUUCUUUUCUUCGUCUUUAUUUUUAUCUUUCCUCCCUAAAUGAAGAGGGGUUUGCGUGUGGGCAGGAGGUUGCUAGAAAUUUAAGGAGUAGGUACUAAAAUUUAAGGGGUUUAACCAAUAGUACAUCAUCCGCAAAAAAAGGUCUAGUGUCAAAACUGGGGUACAAAGUUUUAUGAUAAGAGCGUAGAGGCAUUUAAUAGGUUGGUGAACAAGACCACUUUCUUACAAAAAAAAAAAAAAAAGGACAAGACCACUUUCUCUCAGUUAAUUGUUUAGUGUUACAAAAAAAAAAAAAAAGAAACACUUAUUGACUUUGGCGCAUUUGAACAGCUAAGCAUACAUUUUGCUCGGGGAGAUUACGUAUGUUUGGAGAAAGUAUGUUUGUGGUCAUAUACAAGUACAAGUGGUUUUAAUCUUUUUAUCCAAGCAAUCACGGUUCUUUUUUAUUUUUAUUUUUUAUAUUAAAGUGAAAAAGAGUUUCCGUCUUUGAUUAUAUGUGAUCAAUAUCAAUUUAUUGAAUUACUGAUCUAACUUGUUAGUGAAAUCUUUUGUGGACUGUAUUACUUAUUUAUUUUUAAAUUUUAUUUAUAUCAAAGUUGCAAGGUUUACUACCAAGAGAGGGCAACACUCGCUGUGGGUUGCUAACAGAUCUUUAUUAAUUAUUAUUAUUUUUAAUUAUUGACAUUCAAUCUUAAUUUAAUAUUUUUAUUAAAAUAACAUUAACUAUUCUUAUGGAGGUUUUUUGAGAUGAAAAUCUACAUAUGGGACAUAACCUUUUAAGGGAUAAUCAAUUUGGCAGAUGAAGACUGCUCAAUCCAAAAAAAAAAAAAAAAAGACUUCUACUCAUAGUCUAAACAAUCACUUCUACUCAUAGUCCAAGGGAUGCAAAUGAAUUCACCUUUGUAUUUUCUUUUAAAAGUAAAUGAUGCUGCAUGCAGAGAUUCAAUAUGCACCUUAUGCAACAUCUAACUUGAUGGAUUUAGACCAUUUCUUAAUGACCAAACAAGCAAUAGUAUGAUAAAUAAUGUAAAUAUUAUAACAAAUAAUCCUCAUGACUCUUCAAUCCGGACAUAUUAAAAUAGUUGAGCGAGUUUACGAAAUGCAAGUAUGGGAUGCUUUCUAUUUUUUCAAAGUGGGAUGAAAGAAAUAAUAUUAAGCUAGCUAAGAAAUAAAUAAAUUAAAAACCCAGAAAAUCAUUUAUCCAUUGUAUCUUAAUUUCCAAAAUCUAUACUUAUCUUAUUUUUUUGGGCAUCACGUCAGCCAAACCUAACCUGACCCAGUCCCGAACCAACCCACUCGACACGAGAAGAUAAGAUAACGACAGGCUAUCUCUUCACUUUGGUACGAGAAAACGGCGUCCCAUUGACCCCGAGAGCAAUCCCCCACGGAGUACGAGGCCGGGCGGAAUUCCGAGGAAAUUAUUAUUUUUUUACUUUAAAUUUUACCCGGCCAUGGCUUUGCCCUUUUUAAUCCCAUCACUCCUGUCCCCUUUUGGUGCGGGUUUGACGAGUGGCGAAGUCCCAGGACGGUUAAUUCCACUGAAGUGAGGGGGUUAUCUGAUAAAUACCUUUUCCUUUUCCUUUUUUUUUUUCCUCUCCAGUCCUUGGGGAGUUUAAUAUUUGAAUUUAUAUUUUUUUUGGUUACGUGUGUGGCUUGCUGGGAGCACGCAAAAACAAGCGCUGGUUUUGCAAACCCCUGCCAUCAUUACUUGCCAGCUGCUCGGCACGCGGAACGCUACAUAACAUUAAACACUCUGUACUUCAUGACUUCAUCACAAUUCCUUCUCCUUAUCUUCUAUUUACCUCAACGCCACUCACUCCCGUUUGCUUCCACCAUGACUUUGGACUCUCCCUGCGUGCAUCUGCCUGAUGCCGCACGAACCCCAAAGCAACACUUGGUUGGAUUCCACCCGUUUCUUUUCAUAAACUUCAAAUGCACUGGGGUGGAAUGUUGGGAAUGUGGGACGCACGUAUCAUCUGUAUAACUAUAUUGAACACACUGCGUUGAUACUCGAUCUACCUUUCACAUGGCAUUCAUGGUGCAUCUCCUUGCACCCAUAUAUGGUGAUCGUUUGUUUACCAUCCUAUUUUGGCUAUUCUGCCCUAGGAAAACGAAUUAUGGACUCAAAAGUGUGAAUGGAAUUGUGUAAGCUUCUAUGUGCAUGCAUAGAAGUUUCAAUAAUUAAGCUCAUGUUGAUGGGUAAAUCAAAUAUCCAUAACAAAGUCAUUAGCUGACAUGGUUCAUAAUUUUAUACUCUUGUAUCACAUGAAAUUUCAUAUUUAUUUUGUUUUUCAAGAAUUGGCAUUUUAAUGGUAAAUUCUAAUUAAUUGUGUCUUCCAAAAAUGGUGGUCCAUGUGAUGACAAGGAAUCAUAUUCUUUAAUACUAUUGCAUAUUAAUAAGUCCAUUAAGUCAUGUUGCUAUUUUUAUCUUUAAUAUGUACAACUACAGAGUCAAUAGCAUCUCCUACUUUCAAUUGUUCUACAUCUUAAAAAGUGAUCGUAAGGUAUGGUUGAAAAAACGUUCUUAUAUUAACAAUUGAGCACUUGGGCAGAUGGUAUCAUCCCUCGCUGCAUUGGUAGAGAGUGAGGUUUUAUUUCUGAUCGAGAGCCAACCUUUGAAAGAUGGGCAUAUACAUGAUAGAUAGGCAAGAAUUAUUUAUAAAUGUCAAAAAAAUAAUGUUGCCAUGCUCAUCAUUUAUUUUAGUGCUCGCCACGAAUAUUGCCAUUUUAGGAAUGAAAACCAGGGGAAAACCAUAAACCGGUGGUAAAUACUGCUUUUCUUUAUUACAUUGUCAUCUUUAUGAGAUGCAAAGAAAGUGGUCCACAAACAUGGCAUUUGCUUGCAAGAUGGGGAUAUGGUAAUAUUAUUGACUGUUAUGAGAUUUUUUUUUGGAAAGAAAUUGUGUUAAUAUUAUUAAUAUAUAUUAUAAUGCGUUUUCGGACAUCUUUUGCUCAAUUAGAUUUAAUUUCAAGUUCUUUUUCCAUUUUUUUUUUGUAAAUUUCUAUAUUAUUUUAAUUUUUUUUUCUUUGCAUAAGAACAGCUAAUAGAAAAGUACCUCAUAAGCACAAAAGCUUCUUACUUGAUUGGAGAUGAAAAUCACAAACAUGAGCUCAGCGAUCGGUAAGAUUCUCGUACAUAUGUUUUAAAUCAUGGUGUGGAAAAGACUUUGUUCUGUUGGUUCCUUAAGCUCAAAUACAACUAAUUUAUCGUCUCUAAGACUUAAAAGGCUGGAUUAUGAACCUCUUAAUAUACCAGGGGAAAGGGCCAGGCAACAACGUAAUAUAAAGUUUGAAUCAUCUAUGGCCGUAGCUAUGUAUAUGUCUCUUCCUUUUGAAAUUUUAAAUUUAGAUAUAUUUCAUAAGAUAGAUUAUGUCCUUCGUAGUGUGAAUAAUUAUGUCCUUUUUCUCUUUGUUCUCUACUUUUCUUCUUUUAUGAUCUUAAAUGGUUAAAUUGAAGGGGCCUUUCGCUUAUCCCUGCAAUAAGGUCCCACGAGGCCUGUACACUGCACACUGUAUCGAUUACAAACUUUAAUUCCAACAACAAUCCGACUGCUAUUUAAAAUGUCUUAAAAGCGUUUCAAUGUGGUUCCAACGCAUGGCCACCUUUGUACAGGAGGGUGAUACAAACUACAAGAAAACAAGGAUGUGUCAGUUGUUAGCUGUAAUGGCUUUCGAUCAAAAAGGAAGAGACAUGAACUUUGCUAAUGGAAACUAUUCAUGAAUCCUUGAGAGAAAUAUUAAGAAUAAAUGAAACCGUACAUAAGACAUCAAUAUCAUUGUUGCGGCCAAUCCCCUCAUCGUCUGGUCGUCGGAAACAAGUGCCUGUAAAAAAAAAUCCGCACUGACCGGAGACGGCUCCGGUGGAGACCCUCCGACGGUCAAGUCAGAGAGGAGACUAGGCAACAGUGAAAAGAAAAUAAGAAGCUCAACGAGGGAGGGUGAGAGAGAGGGAGGAAGCAAGUCCAAAAGUUUCGAAGGGAUCUCCAGCACUGUUGUCUUCCCCGAUAUAUAUAGUGGAGCAUGGUAUGGCGCCGUCAUUAAUGGCGCGGACAAUUGAAGAAUUGUCAACUCACUCAGGACUGUCAGAGUCGCCGCAAGAGUGUCAAAUCGCUGUGGGGCUGUCAAGUCGCUAGGGUUGACCCAUGCCUUAGGUGGGAUAAUGCCCCUAGGCGGCAGUGCCGCAUGCCGUUGUCAGGACUGACAGUUCGUGGCAGUCGUACUGCGUCUGGAGGAGCUGACCGACCAUAGGUCGGCGGUCAGUUGAGGGGCGUCGGGUGGAAAUUCGGAGCCCCUCUGACAGUCAGUCGGGCAUCGGACUCCAUAGUGCAGCUGGUCGGGAGAGAAAAAAAGGUCCGUCCGACCGACGUAUCCUCGAUCGGUCGGUAAUGGCAGCCGUCGAUCGGUCGUUAACGGGAGUCAUCGGUCGGUCGGUAAUGGCAGCCGUCGGUCGGUCGGUCAUGUAGGUCCGAUGAUGAAUCGGCGUGAACGGGAUCGGUCGGUAAGCGGGGUCGGUCGGUAUUCCCCAACAAUCAUCAUUUUCUAGCAUCAAGAUUUCAUGGAAUACGAAACAAAACUAUCUGAAAAUGACAUGAUGAUAGCUUGCGAUUCAACUAGAAAAUAUAUAAACAACCAAUUAUAUAUGAGGCACUGCCGACAUCGAACAAACAUUCUUAACCGAUCAAGCAAAAGUAUCAUCUAUAUAUGGCUAAACUCCGACCUCUAGCAAUCACCUAAUGGCUUUUGGACAAAGAAUACUAAUUAGAAGCAUCCGUUCCUUCCAGCACUAGUCCUCAAUUAAUGGAUGGGGGCCCUACGGAAUCCAGUUUGUGGGUUGAGGGGUAUUGUCAAUUGCUUUCUUGCUUGUUUAGGUGGGAGAAAGCCAGGCGGCAAGCAAGAACGGGACCUCUUUGAUGCUCGAAUUUAUUAUUGGAAGACGCCAACUUCGCUUUUCAUUGCCUUCACGUGAAGUGUUUGCGAGCCUCAGAGCAACGCCAACUUUGUGGUUUGAUGAACAACGUAAACAUGAACGCAAAAGCCCCCCACUGCAUCCUUGUGAAAGGAUCCAAGCCACAAGGCAUCUUUGAUGGCAACAAGCAUUGCCCAUUCUUUCUUUCAUGGCAUUAUGUUUAAUGGCUAAGGGACAAACCUAAGGUCUCCUUCAGCAAUGAAGUCUUUUCAUAAAAGUGGACUAUAGUGCCUGUGAUUGCGAGAAAUCAGGAAAUUUGGAGGCAUCUAUUUGGUGGUACUUGAACUCGAAGGUGCAAGCACUAAACUAGCUUCCAUGUACUUGUUGGUUUGCUUUGCUCGAGCAUUCAAAGAAAAAAAAACUGGCCCAAUUCGAAAUCCUGUAAGCAUUUCCUAAUCAAAGUGGAACGCCAGAUUUUUCAGAUGUUGCCCCAGGUUGAGACAAACUACAAACUGGUCCGAGUUGGUUUCUCACAGAGCUAGCCAGAGCUAUUCCUCUAAAGUUGAGAUUCCUUUCGCAAAAGAAGUUUCAUAUUCAUCAACAUUUAUCUUGCAGUAUUCUUAUUGAGGCAAAAUCCACCAAAGAAAUAUUGGUAUCAGAAUGAUCAUAGAAGUCGCUGCACAGCUCUCUUGACUGGUAGAUAUUAGGGUUUUAUUUUAUUUAGUUGAUUGAUUUUAGUUGUGAGGGAACUGCUACAAGAUCUUGGCCAUCACAUGAGCAAAAUUUUGGCAAUACUCGGACCAAAUUCCACACUAAUGUGCACCUUGAAGUGUACUGGAUUCAUGCCCACAAUGAUAGUCAGCUAUUUAUAUAAUGAGUUUCUGCAUCAAAUCUAUUGAUAGCAUUGGAUUUGCUCGGUUCCAAACCGGUCCACUUCUAGCGCUAGUUUAGCUUGUUUCUGUUGUGUGGAGGAAUGCCACAAAGUGUGUCUUUUGAAACGAAGAUUAGAUGAGUGCCCUUCGCAAUAAUUCAUUUGAGAGAAAAUUAAGCAGCCAAACAUAUAAUAUAGGACUUUUUUUUUUACAAAUAUAUAUAAACCGAAGUGGACUAAGAAUGUUCAUCUAAUUUCAAGUCCAAUUAAGCUAUAAUCGAAUGCUCGAAGAAAACAAACGAAAUUCAAAAUAAUAUCAGAGAAUUAUCCCCUUAAGAGAUAGAUCCAUCUCUACGUAUGAUGUGAAUAGGAAGAGACAUUCCAGAACACUGCACAAAGUCAUAAAUCAUGUUUCCACUUCCACCCACUGAAUCUUUUUAUGCAAUAUAAACCAUGGGCUUUUGCCAUGGUGGCUCUCUCUUAUGGGCGUCAGUUCUCUUUCCCAGUGAAUAGACUGCACCUUCAGAAAACUUUGCUGAUAAUGCUUCUUUCAAGAUUUUACAUUCUUUCUUUUCAAAUAAAUAAAAAAGAUUUUACAUUUAUUUUUCUUUUUUAAUGCUUGGUAGAACAGAUUUUACAAGUCUAUUAUGGUGACGAUCCAUAUAAUUUAGACUUGUAUUUCCUUCUCUGUUCAAUUGAUCUCGUUAAAUGUAGUUCCUGGUCACAAUGGAUUGAAAUGGGAAGAUCAUUUAUAUGUAUUGGAUAAUUCUGCAAAAGAAACUUUUAACCCAAUUUGUAACAGUAUAGCAUUGGUUAGUUGGCCUUCCUCUAAAUAUUGGACAAAAUUAUUGUUGUAGCAUAGAAAGAAAGACAUCAUUAGUUUCAUAUUGGCUGUGAGUCAAAAAAGACUCUGGCUUAUAUAGGAAGAAAUCAUUCUUCCUGUAUGAGACAUUUUUUGAAGGGCAAAAUCAUGAAGCCCAUGGACUAGAGUGAACAAUAUCUUACAUACCAAGUUAUGAGCCUUUAGCUCAAGCACCUACUCCGAUACACAUUAUAUUUAUCAAUCAUACAUAUUUAUUUCAUCUAUGGGCUUAAGAUUCCAUGAUCCGAGUUUAAACAAGUGAGUUCUCGCCCUUGUUCAUAUAACAGGACAUUCAAUUGACUUUUCCAACUUUGAUGGAAACUAUAUUUAUUUUUUGGUACCCAAUUAUAUAGCAUAAAUUUCUGGACCUACAUAGCAGCUGAUGUUAAACUAUCAUGAUUUAUCAAGCCCACCCAGGCCCAAUCUGAUACCAAAGUUUUGAAAUGGUUGCUCGCUGUGAUAAAUCCUCGUAUGGCUGGUGUUAGAAUAUACCGACCAACUCUUUUUACGCCAACUCACCCUCGGACCUGUCCGACUGACGUUCGACUCUACCGACCGCACCGACCGACGACUGCCAAUAGUAGCUGCCGACAUUAUCCAAUCGAGGGUGUGUCGGUCGGGCAGACCCAUUCUAUUCCCGACUAGCCGAGCGGCGGAGCCUAGAUUACCGACGCACUGUCGGAUGGGGGUGGCAGCCGACGUCCGACUUCCGCAAUGCACCAGACCAACCGACGGUGUCUCCGGAUCUUCACCCGAUGUCCCGCAGCCGAAUACCGACGUAUGGUCGGUUAGCUCCUCCAAACGCCGUACGACUGUCAUGGACUGCUGUCCUGAUAAGGACAUGCGGCGUGGCCGCCCUGGGGGCAUCGUCCUGCCAAGGAUAUAGGUUAGCCCCAGUGAUUUGACAGCCCACGAUGAUUUGUCAGUCCGCGGCGACUCUGACAGCCUCCGGUUGUCUGUGCCAUUAAUGGCAGGAUCACGCCGCGCUCUACUAUAAAAUGGGGAAGGCAAUAGUGUUGGCGGGGAGGAGGUUUUUCUAAGCUCCUGAGCUCUCUCUCUCUCCUUAGCUCUCUUCCGUUGAGCCCCUGAUUCUUUUCUACUGUUGCCUAGUAUCCUCUCUGACUUGACCGUUGGAGGGUUCCCACCGGAGAUAUCUCCGGUCAGUGUGGACUUCUCUUGCACGUGCUCGUUCCCGGCGAUCAGGCGAUGAGGAGAUUGGCCGCAACAGGUUUGGCACGCCAGGUAGGGGGGAUCACGACCUCCACAGAGCUUAAAAAAUCCUUUCGAGAUGACAAGAACUAGGGCUCAGCGAUCGAGAGCCACCGGAUCGGCGAAGCACUCUUCCCAUCCAGAAGAGGCCUCUCCUCCACCCUCCAUGGUGGAACCCAGCUCUCUGCAUCCUGUGGUGACCAUGGAGGUGCAGAUCGCAGUGAUCGUACGGCAGAUGACUGUGCUGUUGGAUGCAGUCAAAAGCCUUCAACAACAACCAACCCGGUUGCCGUACUCGCCGGCGGAGCAACCGGCGGCGCACCCGAUGCUGUCCAAGAGCAGCCGUCGACGCCCGCGUCGGUCUCCGUCUCUUCCUCAAGAGCAGCCGUCUCAGCAUUCCCAUCGAGAAGGGGAGAGGCGGCCAUGGCGUGACACCCACCAGUCUCAGCGUCCCUCUCCUUCCCAGCUGGAGCGAGCGAGGAAGGAGAAGCGGCCACGGACACUGUCCGCCUCCCUCUCAGAUUCAUCGGGAGAUUCGACCCUUGGGAUAUCCCAACAUCGAUGGAUCGAUGACUACGAAUGCAGGUUCGAAGAAAUCGACCGUCGGCUUGCCCAGCUCCAGGUGGAUAGACAGAAGUCUUCGAACGACGUUGACUUUCAGACCGUCCAACCUCUCUCCUGACUCAUCCUCGACAAGCCGAUUCCUAGUCGGUUCAAGAUGCCUCAUGUGGAGCCUUACGAUGGCUCCACCGACCCAGUCGACCAUCUGAAGAGCUACAAGGCUCUCAUGACGAUCCAAGGGGCAACCGAUGCCCUCCUCUGCAUCGGCUUCUUCGCCACACUUCGCAAAGCUGCCAGGGUCUGGUACUCUGGCCUCCGCUCAGGAAGUAUCCACUCCUUCAGACAGCUCGAGCAUUCUUUCAUGGCCCAUUUCAGCACCAGCCGGAAGCCCCCACGAACCUCGGACAGUCUUUUCUCCCUCAAGCAGGGAGAAAAUGAGACGCUCCGACACUUCGUGAUGCGAUUCAACGCGGCCACACUUGAGGUUCAGGAUUUCAACGAAGACAUGGCUAUCUAAACCAUGAAGAGGGGGCUGAGGGAGUCCUGAUUUACAUAUUCCUUGGACAAGACCCUCCCCCAGACAUAUGUCAAACUGCUGGAGCGCGCGUACAAAUACAUGCACGUAGACGAAGGAGCUUCCGACCAACGCCUGACCAAGAUCAAGGGUCCGAAGGAGAAGUGAAGGAAAGGUCGGGCUCCUGUCGAGCCUAGCGGGCCCCCGAUCGAGAAACAGGUCUCAUCCCAGCGAUAGAGCCUGAGAUCACCUCGACGGUGGAGUUCGAGGCCGAUGCAUCGCAGGUAUGACUCCUAUACUCCUCUCUCUGCUUCUCAUGCAUAAAUUUUGAUGGAGAUCGAAGGAGAGGAAUAUCUGUGACGGCCUCCGCCUUUGAAGGCAAAGGGCCUCGACCGACGAAAAUACUGUCGAUUUCAUCGGGGCCAUAGCCACAACACCGAACAGUGCAUCCAACUCAAGGAUGAAAUUGAGGCCCUCAUACGCUGAGGGUAUCUCAAAAAAUUUUGAAGGAGCCCGCCGAUUCGACCCGUCCCCCACCGACGACCCCAAUCGACUGAAGAGGCAGCGAACAACUAGCCUACGGCUGGGANNNNNNNNNNNNNNNNNNNNNNNNNNNNNNNNNNNNNNNNNNNNNNNNNNNNNNNNNNNNNNNNNNNNNNNNNNNNNNNNNNNNNNNNNNNNNNNNNNNNNNNNNNNNNNNNNNNNNNNNNNNNNNNNNNNNNNNNNNNNNNNNNNNNNNNNNNNNNNNNNNNNNNNNNNNNNNNNNNNNNNNNNNNNNNNNNNNNNNNNNNNNNNNNNNNNNNNNNNNNNNNNNNNNNNNNNNNNNNNNNNNNNNNNNNNNNNNNNNNNNNNNNNNNNNNNNNNNNNNNNNNNNNNNNNNNNNNNNNNNNNNNNNNNNNNNNNNNNNNNNNNNNNNNNNNNNNNNNNNNNNNNNNNNNNNNNNNNNNNNNNNNNNNNNNNNNNNNNNNNNNNNNNNNNNNNNNNNNNNNNNNNNNNNNNNNNNNNNNNNNNNNNNNNNNNNNNNNNNNNNNNNNNNNNNNNNNNNNNNNNNNNNNNNNNNNNNNNNNNNNNNNNNNNNNNNNNNNNNNNNNNNNNNNNNNNNNNNNNNNNNNNNNNNNNNNNNNNNNNNNNNNNNNNNNNNNNNNNNNNNNNNNNNNNNNNNNNNNNNNNNNNNNNNNNNNNNNNNNNNNNNNNNNNNNNNNNNNNNNNNNNNNNNNNNNNNNNNNNNNNNNNNNNNNNNNNNNNNNNNNNNNNNNNNNNNNNNNNNNNNNNNNNNNNNNNNNNNNNNNNNNNNNNNNNNNNNNNNNNNNNNNNNNNNNNNNNNNNNNNNNNNNNNNNNNNNNNNNNNNNNNNNNNNNNNNNNNNNNNNNNNNNNNNNNNNNNNNNNNNNNNNNNNNNNNNNNNNNNNNNNNNNNNNNNNNNNNNNNNNNNNNNNNNNNNNNNNNNNNNNNNNNNNNNNNNNNNNNNNNNNNNNNNNNNNNNNNNNNNNNNNNNNNNNNNNNNNNNNNNNNNNNNNNNNNNNNNNNNNNNNNNNNNNNNNNNNNNNNNNNNNNNNNNNNNNNNNNNNNNNNNNNNNNNNNNNNNNNNNNNNNNNNNNNNNNNNNNNNNNNNNNNNNNNNNNNNNNNNNNNNNNNNNNNNNNNNNNNNNNNNNNNNNNNNNNNNNNNNNNNNNNNNNNNNNNNNNNNNNNNNNNNNNNNNNNNNNNNNNNNNNNNNNNNNNNNNNNNNNNNNNNNNNNNNNNNNNNNNNNNNNNNNNNNNNNNNNNNNNNNNNNNNNNNNNNNNNNNNNNNNNNNNNNNNNNNNNNNNNNNNNNNNNNNNNNNNNNNNNNNNNNNNNNNNNNNNNNNNNNNNNNNNNNNNNNNNNNNNNNNNNNNNNNNNGUGGAGGAUCUGCAUCGACUAUACCGACCUGAAUCGUGCUUGCCCGAAGGAUAGCUUUCCACUUCCGAAAAUCGACCAGCUGAUAGACGCGACGUCCGGCCAUCGACUGCUCAGCUUCAUGGAUGCCUUUGUCGGAUACAAUCAGAUUCGGAUGGCGCCCGAAGAUGAGGAGCAUACAGCCUUCGUGACCGCUAAGGGCCUUUACUGCUACAGAGUAAUGUCUUUUGGACUGAAAAAUACCGGAGCCACCUACUAGCGACUCGUCAAUAAGAUCUUCAAAGAUCAAAUUGGGCGCAACAUGGAGGUGUACGUGGAUGACAUGCUGGUUAAGAGCACGCAGACUUCAGAUCAUGUCCAAGAUUUUGAAGAAACUUUUCACACUCUUCGACGACAUCGGAUGAGGCUGAAUCCGACUAAGUGCGCCUUCGGAGUGACUUCAGAAAAGUUUCUCAGGUUCCUCAUUUCUCAACGAGGAAUUGAGGCCAACCUCGAGAAGAUAAAGACGAUCAUCGACAUGCAGCAUUCGGACACCAAAAAAGAGAUACAACAGCUUAACGGAAGGAUCAUCGUGCUCAACCGAUUCAUCUCUCGGUCAGCUGAGAGAUGCCUCCCAUUCUUCAAAACCCUGAGGCAGGCGAAAGACUUCUCUUGGCCGGACGAGUGCCGGCGGGCCUUCAAGGAUCUAAAGAGAUAUUUGGCCUCCCCGCCGCUGCUUGUAAAGCCAGAAGUUGGAGAAAUAUUGUACCUCUACUUGGCAACCUCCGCAGAGACGGUUAGCUCGGUGCUUGUCUAGGAGAAUGAGAGCCGAAUUCACCAGCCCAUAUACUACACCAGCAAAGUGCUCCACGAAGCUGAAGCUAGGUAUUCAAAGGCGGAGAAAAUAAUAUUCACCUUGAUUGUGUCUGCACAACGACUCCGUCCGUAUUUUCAAGCACACACUAUCGUGAUCCUCACCGACCAGCCCCUGAGGGCGAUCUUGCAUCGCCCUGACACAUCAGGAUGACUAACGAAAUGGACGGUGAAGCUGAGUGAGUUCGACAUUCAGUACCGACCACGACCUACUUUGAAAGUCCAGGUUUUGGCCGACUUUAUUGCGGAGUGCCCGACAACCGACCAAGAAUCGAAAGUCGGGAGCUCCAAAGAGGCUGCAACCUCUGAACGUGACCCUAGGUCUACCUGGGUGUUGCACAUCGAUGGAGCUUCCAAUGCUCGAGGGAGUGGGGCUGGGUNNNNNNNNNNNNNNNNNNNNNNNNNNNNNNNNNNNNNNNNNNNNNNNNNNNNNNNNNNNNNNNNNNNNNNNNNNNNNNNNNNNNNNNNNNNNNNNNNNNNNNNNNNNNNNNNNNNNNNNNNNNNNNNNNNNNNNNNNNNNNNNNNNNNNNNNNNNNNNNNNNNNNNNNNNNNNNNNNNNNNNNNNNNNNNNNNNNNNNNNNNNNNNNNNNNNNNNNNNNNNNNNNNNNNNNNNNNNNNNNNNNNNNNNNNNNNNNNNNNNNNNNNNNNNNNNNAUAAUCAAGCCGAGUAUGAAGCGCUCCUCGCUGACUUGAGAGUAGUGAAGGAGCUUGGGAUCGACAGCCUCAGAGUCUUCUCCGACUCCCAGCUGAUCGUGGGACAAGUCAAAGGCGAAUUUGAGAUGCGGGACCCGACCAUGGCAAAAUAUUUUCAGAAGGUGAGAGAUCUCGUGGCACACCUCAUGUAUUUCGAGAUCUCCCACAUUCUCAGAUCGGAGAAUGCUCGGGCCGACGCACUCUCCAGGCUUGCGACAUCAGCCUACGAUACUUUGGGCCGGACACUUGUGGAGAGUCUCGAGCAACCGAGCAUCGAUAGGGCCGAGGAGGUGCUGCAACUGACGAUCGAGCUGAACUAGAUAGAUCCGAUCGUUCAGUAUCUGACCGACGAAACCAACCCUGAAAACCCCACGAAAGCCAAACGACUCCGAUGGAUGGCCUCCCAAUAUGUGAUGAUGGACGGCCGACUCUACAAAAGGUCGUUCUCCCUUCCCUUGCUGAGGUGCCUGGGACCGACUGAUGCGGACUACACGCUCAGAGAGGUGCAUGAAGGGAUCUGCGAAAAUCACUUGGGGGGCAAAUUCUUGGCCUACAAGGUCCUACGGCAGGGUUACUACUGGCCCACCAUGAAAAAGGAUGCAGCUGAGUUGGUUCGGAGGUGUGAGUCGUGUCAGAGGUACGCUAACAUACAACACCGACCCGCCAACCAAAUCACUCCCAUUGUCGCCCCAUGGCCCUUCGUCCAGUGGGGAAUCGACAUACUCGAUCCUUUUCCUCCGGCGUCUGGCCAAAGGAAGAUCAUAGUCGUCGCAAUCGACUACUUCACUAAGUGGGUGGAAGCCGAACCUCUGGCACAAAUCACCGAGCGGAAGAUGGAAGACUUUGUCCAGAAGUCCAUCAUCUUCAGGUUUAGACUACUGCACACUAUUAUCAUCGAUAAUGGACGAUAAUUCGACAACCGAGAUUUUUGGGAGUUCUGUGCGAGAUUUCAUAUCGCGCACAGGCUGACCUCGAUCGGGCAUCCACAGUUCAACGGCGAGGUCGAAGUAACCAACCGAACCAUUCUGCAUGGACUGAAGACCAAACUGAAUGAAGCCAAAGGCCUCUGGGUUGAGGAAUUGAAUUCCGUCCUAUAGACGUACUGAACGACACCCCGUGUCCCAACCGGAGAAUCUCCUUUCAGCUUGGCCUAUGGGACGGAGGCGAUGAUCUCACUCGAGAUCGGGCUACCAUCGACUAGAGUUGGACAGUACUGCGAGCCGGGCAACUCCGAGUGUCGGAGAGCCGACUUGGACCUCCUACCCGAACUCCGACACGAGGCUCAACUCCGCAUGGCUUCCUACCUAUAAAAAGUGGCCCGAUACUAUAAUGCUAAGGUUAAGCCAAAGUUUUUCAGACCCGAAGACCUGAUCUUAAGGAAGGCGGAAGUUUCGAAGCCUCUGGAUCAAGAAAAAUUAUCCCCGAACUGGGAAGGAUCCUACAAGAUAGUGGACACCUACAGGCUGGGAGCCUAUCGACUAGAGACUCUAGAAGGAAUGGCCAUUCCCCAGACUUGGAAUGCCGACAACCUGAGAUUGUACUACCAGUGAACUCUGUGUGCCCUUGUUUGGAAUACAAAUUCAGUUUCAAAACUCCAGAGUCUAGAAUCUCGGCUCUCCAAUUAUGGGUCGGUGCUCACCAAAAGUACGAGCCCCGACGCUCCGACUUGGGCCCAACAUUUCAUUGGAAAUCUAUGGCCCGAUCGCCGACGACGCGUCGGACUCUUACGAGAACCGAUAUAUCUACGUUGGUGGAAGGCAGGCGAUGGCAAUGAAACCCCCUAAGUUGAAGCCACGCUCCUUCCAUAGUCAACUCUCGAGCAAGACGACUGGCUAACUUGCCGACUUGGCUCCGGCCAAGAAAGGCAAAACGUCAAUGCGACCAACGUCGCAUUCGCAACAUACCGACCAGGUCACGACCGGUCGAAGGGUAUUCGGCUUACCACCGUUUAUCACACGUCACGAUGCAUACGCUCGAUAAAGAAUCGGACAAUGGAUGACCGACUUAUCAUCGUUAUCUUAACCGAAUGCGUCGGGCACUAUUCAACUAUCAGACUCUACGGGAUGAUUGGGUCAAGAGCUACGCCUGAAGAUCGGUCGACACCCGACUCGACAAACACGCCCGACUUAGGUCUGGGCAGCGAACGCUCGACUUAGACUCUCGACUGUCGGGUCGUACGACAGUCAGGACGUCGAUCUAUAAUCAGAGCUCGCUUUGCCUUUACCAUGGUGCACGCUACCUCAGCUAACUAUCCGGGAUCUUAGCGAAUGUCCUAACAAGGUACGUCGGGCCUACGACUUAUACGCUCGGGGGCAUUUCGGCGAAACAUACAUUCCAAGAUACAUUUCAGGAUACAUAAAGAAAAAAAAAGUUAAAAAGUUUUCAAUUUCAUUCAAGUAUAAACUGNNNNNNNNNNNNNNNNNNNNNNNNNNNNNNNNNNNNNNNNNNNNNNNNNNNNNNNNNNNNNNNNNNNNNNNNNNNNNNNNNNNNNNNNNNNNNNNNNNNNNNNNNNNNNNNNNNNNNNNNNNNNNNNNNNNNNNNNNNNNNNNNNNNNNNNNNNNNNNNNNNNNNNNNNNNNNNNNNNNNNNNNNNNNNNNNNNNAAUUUACAAAAUUGGACCGAAGCCCGAUUACAAGUACACUAAGUAAGAGCAAAAACAAAAGAUGCUCCGACUACUAGUCGGAGUCAACUUCUUCAACCGAGAGAAGUUCGAGGGCGAUUGGCGUGGCCGCUCGGGUCGGAGUAGCAUCGGGGGUCGGAGCCGCCUCAUCUUUGGUAACUUGAUCCGGAACGGCUUCCUCCACGGUAGUGUGAUCUCCCGACGUCGGGUCGGCCACCUCUCCUGUGACUUGGCCCUUCGACCCUGGGGGAACGAUGCUGCUGAGGUGAAGCUCCGGAUACAGACUCUGAACUGUGCCCCGGACAUCCUCGUACCCCACUCGGUACGAGGCAAAACCGCUCUUCAGGAGCUCCUCCCGAUAUUCGUCAGAGCCGCAGAAGUCCUCCACCGCCCGACUCAUUGCCUCUUUCGUCGACUCUGCCUCCGCCCUCGCUAUGUCUGCAUCGGCUUGAGCGGUGGACAAGUACUCCUCGGCCUUGGCGAGAUUCUCCAGACUCACCUGGAGUUGCUCGUGCUCGGCUUUGAGCUCAUCGACGCAACCAUCCCGCUCACGCCGUAGCCGACGAGCGGUAUGGGACUUUCGUUUGACUUCAUCACGAGCUAACCGAAGUUCGGCCCCUGAGGUAACCAGGGCAUCGGUAAGGCGGGAGAUCUCCUCCUUGAGUCGGGCCUCACGGUCGACCGACUGCUUCAGUUGCUCGACCAUUGUCGCCUUCUCGGCCUCAGCAGCCUUGGCCUAUUCUUCUAGCCGCCUGGAGAUCGUCGAACCUCCUAUACCUGACCUCCAGCUCAGACAUGUUGUAGAUCAGCUGCAAAUAAUAAGCCGAUCGUCAGAAGACCGAACUGAUAGAAAACAAUAUUGAAAAUGAAAAGAGAAGAAGAGGAGCUCAUCUGGAUCGUAGUCGGAUAGAAGGAAGAAAGCAUGUCUGACACCCGCCGACUCUUCAUGAUCUCCCGAUCGGCUGGGAGGAUGGUCGCCUGACAUAACAUCCUGGCCAAAUCAUGGUUGGCCAGGGCCGACACUCCUUCGGGAAGCAGGACAUCGGAUGGCGUGGCUCGGCCGGCCGACCUUGUGUCGUCGUCCGAUGCCAUCGGAGCCUUCCCUCGUCCGACCGGCCAGGCCCAAAAAUUGGAGAGGGACGGGAAGCUUGAGCUCGAUUGGGUCCCUUCCGAAGCUCCGACGGUGGCUGCUGCAGAUCGUUCGGGCUCGCAUACUUCGGCCCAAACCUCUUCUGUUGGUGGGGGAGCCGAUGCUCCUUCGACUACCCCCUCGGUCGCCCUUUCCUCGAAUGGUGCCUCAGGUGGCACCGCCGACGCCGACAGAGCAAUGACAGGCUCGUAGCCCGACACCCGUUCGGCGUCGGGCUGCGCUCCCAUCGUCGCAGGGUCAGUCGGCGAUGCUAUCUGAGGCCUCUUGGGAGGCCACGAUGGUUCGGCUCCGUGCAUUGGCCUCUUCCUCGCCGCAUGUUGUCGAAUGUCGACAUCCGUCAGUCUCACCCUCGGCGACAUGCCUACAAUUUUAACAGAAGAUCAGCACCAGUCCAAAGAUAGAGAAAAAAGACAAAAAUGACAGAUCGGGAUGUACCUAAAUGAGGAACCGAACUUAGGCCGGCGUCGUACAGAGCUUGCUCGGUGACGAGCUCCCUCUGCUUCGGCACCGACACAUCCUUCAGUCGGUGCAAAUCCUCUCGGUCUCCGUCUUCCACCUGACUGUUCUCAUUCGGUUGAGUCCGGGGGUCCCCCCAGCAGGAAGAAAACCCCCAAAGAAGCGGAGAAGAGGUAAAGAAAAAUUGAUUCUUCCAUCCAUGAAUCGACGAUGGAAGAUUGGUGAUGAACGAAAGAUCCUUCCGGAGGUUGAAGAACCACCACCCUCAGGCUUUCGGGUGGGGUCGGAGGAUAAAGAAUGCCUGGAAGAGGGAUAUACGAGGAUAGGUCGGCAAAAGCUGACACAACAACAUGAAGCUGAUUAUCAGUCGGACUGAGUUUGGGGCCAGUUGAGCUGGACAAAGUCCGUAAUAAUCCAGAACGUUCCGGAUGAACUCCGAAAUUGGAAAGCAAAGACCUGCCUGAAAGUCCUCGAUAUAGAAGGCCACCUGGCCCGAAGGUGGGUUGUUAACCCGACCCUCAGCCCCAGGGGCGAAUAGCUCGAACUGCUCCGGGAUAUUGUAUUGCUCCCUGAGCCAUUCGAUGUUUGCCUCCGAAAGUGAAGAAACCUCCACCUCCGAGGUCGACCGUGAGUCGUCGGUCGGGUUCCCCGACUGAUUUCCUUGUGGAGAGGUUCUGGCCAUGAUGCUAGAACCGAGGUCGGAGGAAGAAGAAGAAGAAGAAGAAAGAAAGUCCAAAGGAAGCAAAAAAUGCAAGGAGACAAAAAUCUCGAAGAAAGCUUCCCGAGGAGGGAGAUAGGCACAACUAUCUAAAACUUGGAACUGGGAGACCACUCGACCAGAGUCUCGGCAACAGGACUGCGAAAAGUGAAGUUUUGGAUACAGGUGACCCUAUAUAUAUAGUGCCCCUCGACGACCGGGAUGAGAGCACGCCCAAUGAGGGUCUCCCAGAUUUUGACACGUGGCAGCAUCUGGGCCUUCCCUCGGUUCGACGAUUCAAUGCACCUGUCCCAGAUCAAGCCACGUCGCCUCCAUCCGCCUGAACGGGUUCGGCCCAAUGGCCCCCUAUCACGUGGCGAAAAAAAUCGCAUCUCAGGAUUCACUAACCGACGGCGGUUUGCAUUCCCGAGGAGAUGGUGGAAACGACGGUUCCUGUUCUCAAUGGGAUGUCUGACACCAAUGGGACGUCUGACGUCGGACCGUUCAUUGGUACAGUCGCCAGAGUCGGAGCAUGAUAUGAUGGAUAUCCACUCCUUUCGCCCGAAGCCGUCGCCCACGCGAAAAUGCUGGCAACUACGACAUCCGACUCAGGAGUGGAGGGGAAACUGUUGGGAUAUACCAACCGACUCCUUUUACGCCGACUCACCGUCGGGCCUAUCCGACCGACGCCCGACUCUACUGACCGCACCGACUGACGACUGCCGACAUUAGCUGCCAACAUUAUCUGAUCGAGGGUGUGUCGGUUGGGCAAACCCAUUCUGUUCCCGACUAGUCGAGCGGCGGAGCCCAGAUUACCGACUUACUGUCAGACGGGGGUGGCAGCCGACGUCCGACUCCUGCAAUGCGCCAGACCAACCGACGGUGUCCUCGGGUCUUCACCCGACGUCCCGCAGCCGAAUACCGACGUAUGGUCGGUCAGCUCCCCCAAACGCCGUACGACUGCCAUGGGCUGUUGUCCUGACAAGGACAUGCGGCGUGGCCGCUCUAGGGGCAUCGUCCUGCCAAGGACAUAGGUCAGCUCCAGUGAUUUGACAGCCCAUGGUGACUUGUCAGUCUGCGACGACUCUGACAGCCUCCGGCGAUUUGACAACUCUCCGAUUGUCUGCGCCAUUAAUGGCAGGACCACGCUGCGCUCUACUAUAAAAUGAGGAAGGCAACAGUGUUGGCGGAGAGGAGAUUUUUCUAAGCUCCUGAGCUCUCUCUCUCUCUCCCUAGCUCUCUCCCGCUGAGCCCCUGGUUCUUUUCUACUGUUGUCUAGUCUCCUCUCUAACUUGACCGUCGGAGGGUUCCCGUCGGAGACAUCUCCGAUCAGUGUGGACUUUUCUUGCAGGUGCUCGUUUUCGACGACCAGACAAUGAGGGGAUUGACCGCAACAGCUGGUAAUGUAAAGUUUGAGUAAAAGUUUAGCGGGCAAGUCUUCACUUUAAGUGAUUGGAAUGAAAGUGUAUGAUAGUUUACAAAUCUUGAGUAGAUUACGUCUAUGGUGAAUGACUUACUUCAAAGUCUUCUUCUCAUGCCCACCAACUAGAGAAGAGUGAAAGACACUCAGUUCAUCUUCUGACUCUUGUCACUGAUUCCCGCAGGUGGACCACAAUGGCAAGUUAGGAUCCACUGAUAUUGUCAUUAGCAUUUUAUUACAUAUUAAUAUCAUUUUUGAACAGAUAUUACCCACAGAAAAGGGUGAGUGGCUCUUGGCCCACACCAAGUCUGUUGUUGUGGACUGCUAGCAGGUGGACCACAACGGCCAGUUGGAAUACACCUGAUGUACCAUCACUAGCAUUUGUUAAGAUUAUUGUUGUAAAAGAAAUUAUCUAUAUGGGGCUUCUCUCUCUAUUUUUUUCUACAAACUACAGAGAGAAACUCUGAGAAAUUUUUUUUUCUCUCACUAACUUCGUGUUGCGAGGCUUUCCGAUGGAUCCCUUCCUCCGACGGCCAGCCGGCAUAAGCUGACCACCGUACCCCUCUCUUUUUCCCUCUCUCUCUCACUCCCUCUUUGCCUCCCUCUCCAUCCUCUCUCUCUCACUCACUAUCUUUCUCUCUGUCCCAUUCUUCCCCCAUCCUCCCCUUUCUCUUCAUCGGCAGUUUCCAUGGGCCUUUUCUUUUCUUCGACGAGACCUUCUUUCGUGGCCAUCCUCUUCAGCUUCUCUUCUCUAUUUGCCAUUGGAACCCUUCUAGUGAGCCCCUUACCUUCCCUUUGAUGCCAAUUGUCGAGCACCCCCCUCUCCC
rnacentral:lncRNA from 1 species